AUGUAUGUAUGUAUAUAUAUAUAUAUAUAUAUAUAUAUAUAUAUAUAUGUAUGCAUGUAUGUGUGUGUAUAUAUAUAUAGAGUAGGACUUCUGUGCUCUCAGGAGCACGGAGGUCUCCGUGCUCCUGAGCCGUUUUCGAUGAUGGAAUUUUCGAAUUGACGAUCGGCUCCAUUAAACUUGAUCUACCGUAUUUGAAGUUUGUAGAAAAUAAUUUUUGCGGUUUUUCGUUAUCAUUUACCUAGCAAUCGAAAGGAUUCAAAAUCAAUAAUUUUUAACGGCUGAAAAUAAAAAUUCUGUAAAAAGUGGUGAUAUAGCACUAAAAUUUUCGAUCAGAAAUAUUGAUCUUGUUGUAGAUAGUAUAAAGAAUUUUCUAUCAAAAUUUUAUCUGAUUUGAAUACUUCUAUACCGUUAAAUUUGAAAACGGCAGAUAUCAACCAUUAAAAAUUAUGAAUUUUGAAUCUUUUGAUCACUAGAAAAAUGAUAUCAAAAAAUCACAAAAUUUUUUUUCUAGAAACUUUAAAUGCGCUAGAUCAAAUCUAACGGAGCCGAUCGUCAAUUCGAAAAUUCUAUCAUCGAAAACGGCUCAGGAGCACGGAGGCCUCCGUGCUCCUGAGAGCACAGCAGCCUGCUCUAUAGAGUAGAUCUUGUGUGCUAUUAGGAGCACAGAGCCCUCCGUGCUCCUAAGCCAUUUUCGAUGAUGGAGUUUCCGAAUCGACAAUUGGCUUCGUUAGACUUGAUCUAGCAUAUUCGAAGUAUCUAGAAAAUAAAUUUUGUGACUUUUCGAUAUCGUUUACCUAACGAUCGAAAGGGUUCAAAAUCAACAAUUUUUAAUGGUUAAUGUAUACCGUUUGCAAGUUUAACGGUAUAGAAGUAUUCAAAUCAGAUAAAAUUUGAUAGAAAAUUCUUUAUACUAUUUACAGCAAGAUCAAUAUCUCUGAUUGAAAAUUUUAGUGAUAUAUCAUCACUUUUUGUGAGAUUUUUAUUUUCAAUCGUUGAUUUUGAACCCUUUCGAUCACUAGGUAAAUGAUUUUGAAAAAUUAUAAAUUUUAUUUUCUAGAUAUUUUAAAUACGCUAGGUCAAGUCUAACGGAGCUGAUCGUCGAUUUACAAGUUCCAUCAUCGAAAACGGUUUAGGAGUAUGGAAGCCUCUGUGCUUCUAAUAGCACACAACACAAGACCUACUUUCUCUCUCUAUAUAUAUAUAUUGAAACCUGUUAAUGGAGACUGAGUCGGAGAGUGCGGCGAGGUUCUCGAUGCCAGGGGGGAGACCGGUGAGGGCGGGGGAGGGGAAGGGGAGGAUGCGGAGGCCGAUGUUGGCGCCGGGGACGCGGCGGGAGUCGACGAGGGGGGCGUUGGCGGGGGUGGUGACGACGGUGGCGGCGACGCCACCGCGGGCGGCGAAGAGGUUGGCCAUGUCCACCAUGGGAGGCAUGUGGCCCAUAGCCAUGAAAGGGAAGAACACGACGUGCAGGGGACGUCGAGCUAAAUAAUCCGAGCUCUCCAUGGUCGCAGUUGUAUGUAUUUCACACACACACAUACACACACACGCACACACUCUCUCUCUCUCUCUCUCUCUCUCUCUCUCUUGUGUGUGCGGUAUGCACUAUUACAAUGGGAGUGAGUAAUAAUGGAGCCUCUAAAUACAGGAAUAGUUCGUAAUCAAAUUGUUGUAGAACCUUGGGAUGCGAUAAUGACCCAAUUUAAUGUCUGAAACAACCCCUGAAAAUCUCUCCCGUUGCAUUUAUAAUUAUACUGGAAUAGUUAAUAUAUAUAAAUUUAAAAUGUUUAUUAUUUGAUUUGAUGCGUUUAAAUUUAACUAUAAAUAGAAGAUAAGCUCACUUAUCUAAUCACUUUUUAAUGUAAAAAAAGAUUAAAAGGCAUACUAUAGUGAAUUGUAAAUAUAUUUCAACAAAGUUCAACUUUCCUAUAUAGUUGCUAUAAAAAUACUACAACAGAAUUAGGUUAUAAAAAUACAUGUUUGAGACACUUUUGUGUAAAUGUCUCAUUUAUAUCAAAACUUUAAAAAAAAUCUACUAAUGACUAAAUAUAAAGUUCAAUCCAACAAAAAAUAAAAGGUUACUCUACUCAACCACCUCAUCCAGCCCAUUCGGUCCGAUUACAAACAGAAAUUAAAAAAAAAAGAAAAAAGAUUACCAUAUCCCAUUCUUCUCUCACUCAAUUUACUGAAAUUCUAGACGAAAAUCCUUUCCUCUCGUCCUCCUCCGCCACCGCAGCCAACGAGGUAGAGUCCCGGCUGUUGCUAAAUGAUUAAAUAAGUGUUGGUAAAUUAGCAGCACUCUUUUUAAAUUAUAGCGACACUCUUUAACUGCUAUUAUAUAGCUAGCGACCCAACGUAUAGCAACACUUUUUAAAAGUGUCGGUAAUUUAGCCAGCAGCACUUUUUUUUACAUGUACCGAUAUUUAAAAGUGUCGCUAUGUACCGUUUUUGUUGUAGUGAAAUUUUAAUAUUUUCAAAUAUAUCUCUCUGAUUUGAUACCGUUAUAUAAUUGUUUAUAUUUUAAGUGAAAUGUCAUUUUUGUCAUCACAAGUAUGCUCCUUUAAAGCUACAAAAGUAUAAUACAAGAGGGACAAAAAUUCGAGUUAUUUCAUAAACUAAUUAGGAUUAAGCAUUUAACCUAUAGUUAAACUAAAGUUUUUUAACGGAUUUUAAUAAUAGAGACAUAUUUGAAAAUAUUAGAAAUUUUGCAGGAACAACAUAUAAAAGUUGAAAUUUAUAGAGAUAUAUUUGAAAUUUACUAUAUUUAUAGAAAUCUGUAUAAAAUUAACCCUAAAAAAACUGUAUUUUUAUAUUAGAGAUGAUUUUACCAUCAUAUAUAUAUAUAAUGAUAAAAUUUUAGAAAUGUACUUUUCAAUUGCAUACAACUAAAUAAAUUAUUUAUAGCUAAAAUACUUAUGAUUACAUCCAGCUAAAUAAGAUAUAUAUAGUUAUAACUGUUAUAUUUUUCAAAUUUAUGCAUCUUCAAUGGCAAUGUAUUUUUAAUUAUAUCUAACUAAAUAGCCUUUUAGCACAGUUUGUUAAGGUGGUAUCUGAGAUACAAAUUUCGAAUUUUAGUUGUUUAUAUAUAUAUAUAUAUAUAUAUUAAAAAAAAAGCGGGUACCUUUAUUAUUUUUUUAUGUAGUGCAGACUUAGGGAUGAUAGAUUGCUUGUAAUUUUUCCGUCAAAAUAUUUGUUUGCUAACAAAAUAUAAAAAUUUAGAAAUAAUUUUUUUUCCUUCUAAAUUUUUUUUAUUUAUUAAAUAAAAUAUCAUUCAUCAUUUAGCUGGGAUGUGUUACAACUUAAUUAAAUCCGGACAAUAUAAAAGAAAUUCCGCCAAUAUAUUAAAUGUUAUAAAAUUAAUAUUAAAAAAAAGGAAUUUGUGAUGCAAACAAGUGUGAAAAUUUAGUAGUGGCUGAAGCAUUUUACAUUGUUGUAAUAGCCUUUAAAUAAUAAAAAAAAAGGAAAAAAUUUAGGAGGUGUUAUGCCCCUACAAUAUUAUAUGCGGGUUCCAAAAUGGCCACGUCAAUUUUAUUUUUAGGUUAAUUUGCAAAAUACCUCGUGCAUUCAAAAGCGAGUUGACUAUCGCAUAAUUGAUUAAAUUGCGUGUUUAAAUCAUUAUAUAGAUAAAACAUUGAUCAAUCCUUAACUGUCGACCUCCGGUCCAUUAAUUCUUGAAUAAGGUUUGCUAGAUCCACGUAAGACGAGCCACCCGGCUCCAUUGCCCUCUUCGCGGCCUCUCCUAGCUCUCUUGCGCGCCUCCGCGUCUCCGCCGCUUCCUCUCCUAGGCCUCCGCCAAUAGCCUUCCUUACCACGGUCUCGAUUUGCGCGCCCUCUAUCACUGGCCUUUCAGAGGAGAGAAGGGCGAACUCCGUCGCCCUGACCGACACGCCGAUCCGGAGUGCGUCGACGAUGAGCCUCUCGUUGAAGAACUGCUUGGCGUAGAGCGGCCACGCGACCAUCGGCACGCCGGCGACGACCCCCUCAAGACAUGAGUUCCAGCCGCAGUGGGUGACGAACCCCUCGACCGACGGGUGGGCCAGUAUCAGUGUCGCAGGGACCACCCCUUCAGUACUAGGCCCCUAUCCUCCACUCGUUCCCUGAAUCCACGUCGCAGCCAUUCAGCAUCAUCGUCGUCAGAAUCCCUGACGACCCAAAUAAAAGGAUAGUCGGACGCUUCGAGGCCAAAAGCCAGCUGGGCCAGCUGGGCUGCCUCGAGCCGACCCAUGCUCCCGAAGCACACGUAGAGAACCGAACCGGGCUGGUUCUGAUCGAGCCAUUCUAGAAGGUAAGAACUCGACCCGGUUGGUUCAUGUGCCUGCUCUUUUCGUUCUUGUGCUUCGUUUUCCUCUUUUUGUUUUUCUUUCGGGCGGAGUCUCUUCUGAAGGAGGGCUCCGUCCCGACCGAAGAGUGCGAUGGGGCCCACGUGCCACGCGCGGUGCCCCAUCGUCUCUCUAAAGUGGCGGACGUAGUCGGGCUCGAGCUCGUAGUUGUUCACCACCGCGCCGUAGCUCCGCCCCUCCGUAGCCGUGAUCUCGCCGAGCAAUUCUCGGAACGCGGGGAGCAACUUGCCGGCGUCCUGCAUUUGGGAGCGAAGCAUCACCACCCGGCGGGGGAGGCCGUUGAGGACGACGAUGUCGCCGCCGUCGAGCGGGGUGGCAGGGGCGGCGAUGGCGCAGAGGGAGAAGAAGCUGGUGCCAUGGAAGACGAGGCGGGGGAUGCCGAGCUCCUCGGCUACAGGGAUCGUCCAGGGGAAGAAAUAGUCGGAGACGACGGCAUCGACCGGCCGUAUCUCGCAGAGGAGGCGGCUAAAAGGCUCACGGAGUCUGGGCACGGCGGCCGUGAACCUUCAUGAAUAGAUAAUUCAUUACUAAUUUUUUGCUCGCUUUGAUAUCAUAUAGAGAAACUGAGUAUUCUAUGCAGAUAUAAAUAUAUAUAUAUAUAUAUAUAUAUAUAUAUAAUAUAUAAUAUAUAUAUACUAUAAACUAUAUGAGCCUCAAUACUUUUGCACGUGGCAUGUUAUUCUUACUUCUCAUAGCCAACUUUAAAUCAAACCAUCUUCUCCUCUUUCAACUCUCAAUCUUCACCUCCCACUCCUCUAAUUAUAUGUAAGUUACAACAUUUAAUUAUAGUAACUUUAAAUCCAACUUUAAAUCAAACCACCUUCUUCUUUUUCUUAACGCCUAACUCACCUCACCAAUACUCUAAUUACAUGCAAUAUUUAAUUACAUGCACGAUUCUAUUUUAUAACUUAACCACUUUCCUCCUCCAUUAAUCUCUCACUCCCUCUCUUUGUAUUCUUUACAUGCACCACUCCCCUCCUCCAUUAAUUAAUCUCCUACCCCCUCUCUUUUGUAACUCUUUUACAUGCACCAUAAAAAAUUUCAUCGUAUCUACACUCCGCCACUCAUCUCCCUCUUUCUCUAUUGUGUUACAAAGAAGAAGAAAUAAGAAUAGAGCACUGUAAGAAUUCUCCUCAAAAGUAUCGUCCCGCAGCCGAGCCGCGACCUAUAUAAGUGCUUGCUAAGUCGGUCCCGCGGGGCCUCUGCUUACUAUGUAAAUUUAGUCAUACAAAUUAACUGUACUUAAUAUGUAUAGCUUUCUAUAUAUCAUAAAUCGUAAAUAUAAAAUAUUAAAAUUUUUAAUUUAUUUCUAUUAUCUACCCGCCUGCAUCGCGUGGGUCUCUGCACUAGUAUAUUUAUAGUAUGGCUACUGUGCUUAUAGGAACACAACAGUUUUGCUGCUCCUAACUUUCUAACAGCCCAUCAAGUUUGAUGGGUGUUAGAAUGAGAAAGAAAGAGAUAUUUAGAAAUUCAAGGCAAAAGAGAAAUGAGACAUUCAAUUUCUCCCAAAUAUCUCAUUCCUCUUUCAUUCUAACCAUCAUCAAACUUAAUGAGUGGUUAGAAAGUUAGAAGCACAAAGAUUACUGUGCUCCUCAUAGCGCAAGUAGCCCUGCUAUAUAUAUUAUAUAUAUAUAUAUAUAUAUAUAUAUAUAUUUUAUAUUAUAUAUAUAUAUAAUAUAUAUCUAAUUAUAGUUGGACUGGGCUACUAUUACUAGCAAAAUUUUAUUAUUGCUACCAGUUUUUUAGCCUUUGGAUCAACUCUUUUCAUUAUUUCUAACCAUUGGAUUAAAUACUAUAACCCAGUGGGGACCACUCAACCCUAGGGCGACGACUAAACUCUAACCGAUUAAUAUUAUCCUGACUCUACAAUUUUUCAUCCAAGGGUUAAAAACUUGAUAGCAAAAAAAACGUUUUACUAUUAAUAGUAUUCCAGCCUAAUUCUAUAUAUAUAUAUAUAUAUAUAUAUAUAUAAACCUGUUAAUGGAGUCUAAGUCGGCGAGGUCGGCGAGGUUCUCGACGCCGGGGGGAGGCCGGUGAGAGCGGGGGAGGGGAAGGGGAGGAUGCGGAGACUGAUGUUGGCGCCGGGGAGGCGGCGGGAGUUGACAAGGGGCACGUUGGCCGGGGUGGUGACCAUAGUGGCGGCGACGCCGCCGCGGGCGGCGAAGAGGUUGGCCAUGUCCACCAUGGGAGGCAUGUGGCCCAUAGCCAUGAAAGGGAAGAACACGACGUGCAAGGGACGUCGAGCUAAAUAAUCCGAGCUCUCCAUGGUCACAGUUGUAUGUAUUUUUUUACGCACUUUGCCAUUUGAGUACUAUGUUGCUUUAAAGCCAUUACAACUUUAGUAUUUUGUUGGUUUUCAUUUUUUUUUUUAGUAUAGUUCUUUCCGUUAGUAUUUCAGUGUAUUAAUAUGAAAAAACACUUCAGUGCCUUCUUCUAGGUUACUAGAAUAUUCACUUUAGAACCUUAUUUAAAUUUUAUUAUAUUUAAUGAAAAAAUUUGUGGAAUGGCAAUAAUAAAAGGGAGAGAUUGGAAGGCCAUAGGCUUAUAGUUAUAUAUACUUAAACACAUGGUAAUAAAGAUUAAACAAGUAGGAAACCAUAUGGGUGGAUUGAAGUCUUUCUCUAAUAGAAAUUCUAUACAAAAAGGAAAUUUUUAUCUUUAUUCUGCUUAUCUCAAUUUCUAUUUAUUUGGGGUCUAAUAGAUUAUUACCAUUUAUGAUCGCGGAACGAGAAAAAGUACUGGCAGGCUCCUUCGAGGAUUUAUGAGCCUAUUUUUUUUUUUUUAAAAAAAAAUAGUCUCUCCUACGUAUUAUUAUAUAUAUAUAUAGAUAUAGGUGAGUCAAUUUCAUGAAUCCCAGUACAAAGUGGGUAAAAUACUGAUAGAUUCCCUAUAAGUUCUAUAAAUAUAUCCUCUGAACUCACAAUUUACACGAAAUUUAUCAAUCUAAUCACCUCUCUGCACUGUCUUAGUCAUCACUGUUAGCUUUUACUAGUUAUGAUAAAUGAGCGGUUAAAGAAUUGCGAUUUAAAAUUGUAAAAUAAAUUAUUUUGCCCUAGUUUUUCUUUAAGUUAAAAUUGUCUAUGGAAACCCCUCAACUUAUUAUGCAUUUUUUGAAACAGCUCUUCAACUUUCAUUUUUUUAGUUGAUAUCCCAUUUAUCUUUUAGUUUUUUAAAAAUUAAAUGAUUUCAGUGUUUAUGAAAAAUGAGAGUUUUUAGUAUUUUUGAUAAUUUUAUCAAAUUAGAUGGCUUAUUUAUAUGUUUAUCGAAUAAAUAAUUAUAUAUAAAAAAAGUUUAAAUGAAAAUAAUGUUAAGGAAUUAUACUCUUUCUUUAAUUUGAGCUUAAAUUUUUUUUUUAUAUCAAUCAAAAUAUUCUGUAUAAUUUAUAUGCAUUAAAUGACGAUUAACAAAAUGGAAAUAUAAUAUAUUUUAGCUAUUUGAACAAAACGCUCUUAUUUAUUUCAAUCGAAGACAGAACAAUACUGUGUAUAUAUGUUAUGUGAUUUACUUUUGCUGUAAAUAGCGAAAAGAUAGAAAUAUAUAAUUUAUUUCAACAAUUACGUAUUUACUACUGAACCUGAACGAAUUCAAAACUAAACAAAAACAAUCAGAUAAAAUACUUAUAUAUAAAAAUAUAAUUUUUGUUAUUUUUUAAUAAUUAAUGUAGUAUAUUAAUAAUUUAUUAAUAUGUAUAUAUUAAAAUACUUAAAUUUUUAGAUUGUACAAAAAAAUAUCUUUGAAAUAUCUAUUAGUAUUGUCUACUUUAAUAAGAAAUAAAGGGAAAUGGUAUUUUGAGGAGAAUUUACACUCGCUUUUUACAUAUGGGACUUACGGGAUUUUAAUUAUGAGGGGUAUUAUGAUAAUUUUAAACUAUUGGAGGGUAUUUUGAUUGUAUCCAUUUUAGAAAGUUAUUGAUGAGAUUAAGUUUCUAGAAGGCAUUAGUGAAAUUUAUUCUAGUAGUUUAGUAUAUAUAUAUAUUAUAUAUAUAUUAUAUAGUCGUCUCCGUACUUUGGAAAGUACAGGAGGCCCGUGCUUGUUAAGUUGUUUUCGUGACCUAGGUUAUAGUUCAAUUCGAACGAUUCGGCUCGUAGAUAUGAUCUAUUUUAUUGGAACUAUCUAGAAACUAAAUUUUAGAUUUUUGACUAUCCAUUUUUACUAAGCGAUCAAAUGAUCUAAAAUGCAUAAUUUUUAACGGGAUCGAUGUGCACAUUUAAGUUCAAGGGUUUAGAAGUAUUGCCAAAGCAGUUACCAUGAAAAUUUAAUAGAAAAUUUGUUAACUUACAUCGAGUAGCCAAGAUCAAUAUUUUCCCGUAUUUAAAAAUUUGAAUCCUUUAGGUCGAUGUUUUUUAUGAGAUUUUCGAUUUUCGAUGUCUGUUUCAUUUUGAGGCUACUGUUUACUAGACAAACGAAAUCAAAAAUUAUGAAAUUGGUUUCUGAUUUCAAUAGCGGUAUUAUCAAGUUUAACGGAAUGCCGAUCGCGGGAAUCGGGAUGUGCCAUCAUGAAAACAACUUACAAGCACGAGGCCUCCUGUACUUUCGAAAAGAUAGGCAGCUAGCUCUCUCUCUGUCUAUAUAUAGUAUAUUAUAUAUUGUUAGAGUGAGGCCUGAUUAUUCUUUUGAAAGUACGGAGCCUUGUAUUUUUUCAGGUUGUUUUUAUGUUGAUAUUUCGAAUCGUCGAAUAGGCUCCACGUUAAUUUGAUAUAGAGUAUUUGAAGCUAUUAGAAAAUAUAAUUUUUUAUGAUUUCGAUAUAUAUUUGCUAGUUGAUGAGAGAGGCUCAAAAUCAUAAUUUUUUAUUUUAAUUUUGCGCACCCGUUCAUUGGGACGGAUCAGCGAAGCAAAAAGAAAGAAUUUGAUGAACGGUUCUCACACUUCUUUCGAUUUCUUAUUUGAGAUUCGGGAGCGGAUUACUUUUUUCUUUAAUUUUAGCUUUGCUGCUUACCGACCAAGCGGAUCGGGUGGAAUGUAUCUACUAUCAGGAUCAUUUGAUUCCUAUUUUUUAAUAUAUAACUUCUGUUUAUGUGAUGGUAAACAAAAACAAUUUUCUCUGAUUGUUCAGGUUUCUGGUACGUUAAUAUUUAGUUUGUUAAGUUUCUCAUGCUUGAUAAUUCUAAUAAUUUAUAAGUAAUGCCGUAAUGAAUUUUUUGUUUCUUUCUAGAGAAUAAUUUUUGAAAAACGAAUAAUUGGAAAGGUUGGUUGAAAACGAUAAUGGAAAUUUGGUUGAUGAACACUAGCGAAUUGGGUGCAUGUGUUGCACAUUUAUUAUAGAUUAAGCGUUUCCAAUACCCCUAAAAGCGCUUCUCGGGUUGGACGAAAAUCUUUGGCUUAAUUUUAUUUAAUUAUUAGUUGAUUUAUUUCUGGUUUGUUGUUGGUUUUUGCUCAACGUGUAAUGUCUCACAAUAAGAAAAAUGAAAACAUCAUAUCCAGAGGAAAAGCAUAAUAAAAAAGAUGAAACAGAAUAAAAAAACGCACGUUCAAUUUCAGUGCUCUCACACACGAAAAAACCAAAAUAUUUUUAUUUACAUAUUUUUUUAAAUAAGAUGAUGUAAGUUUUGUGGUGGCACUCCAAUAAUUUGGACAAUAAUUUUUAGCUCAAUAACAUUGUUAGUAAAUAAAUUUUGUAAAAAGGAGUACCUUGGAACUAAGGGGUGCUGGUUUUUUGUUUGACAUAAAAGAAAAUUUUAUGGGCUGAUAGUGUUUGUAUUGCUAAGAAAAAAGGAAAAGUUUUUUCUUUACGCUUUAGUGUUUAGCAUUGGAAGAAAAAAAAAUUGAUUCAAUAUAAAAUAUUAUGAUGUAUUUUUUAUUUUAUAUCUUAAUUAUAUUAUUUUGACAUAUAAUUGAUUAUUAUAUAAUCAUAUAUAUUACCUUUUAGUUUAUAUAUAAAUAAGAAUAUUUAUAAAUAUAUCAAUAAGUAUAUAUAUAGAUAUAUUGAUGUAUUGAUUAUUUUGAAUACUAUAAAUAAAUUACAAUAUAUUAUGGAAUAACAUUUAUAAAUAAAAUAUUAUAUAAUAUUAUUUAUAUUAAGAAUAAAAUAUGAUAUAUACUAUAUACUAAUACUUAUAUAUAUAUAUAUAUUAUAUAUAUAUAUUAUAAUAAUAUUAUAUAUAUAUAGUUCAGCUUAGAAUACUUCAAAGUACUAAUUAAAAGAUUGUGCUUUUGAUGUUUAGAUUUUGGAUGAAUAAAUGUACGGUGUUAGGAUGAUUGGCGGUAGAUGGUGGUAUGUGUUGAAUAGUGUGUUGACCCAAAUCUAAUUAAUUAAUCAGAGCUAAAAACUUAUGACACCAAAGAAAUGGGCCUUUCUAAAAGUAUUUCUAGCUAAAUUAUUAUACUUAUAUAUAUUAUAUAUAGUAUAAUAUAUAGUACUAUAUAUGUACUGGAAUGCUAUCAAUGUAGCACCAAGUUAUGGGGGUGGGGCUAUUAGAUUGUUCGGUCUUGAGUCAUGAAAAAAAUGUCGAUUUAGGAUGAUGUGGGGUUCAUAGGAUUGAGGGCGGUUAUGGAGUGAUAUAAUUAACGGUUCAGGUGAAAUAGUCAAAGAGUUAAAUCCUAACAGCGAAAAAUCGCGCGCGUGAGGUACACCAAAUAUUAAGGCUAUUGAUUAGUAUCCAGACCGAACACUCUUUCGUCUACUCUUUAGUUAUAUAUUUAUAAUAUGAGAGAGAGAGAGAGAGAUGAGAGGAUUAGGUCAAUGGGUGGACUCUCUGGCACGCAUGCUGCAUUUUUCCAGAUCUAAGUUUUAGAUGUAUUCACUCGGAUGAGAGCGGAAAACGGAAACGCUACUUUUUUAAAAAAUCUAUUAAUUUUUUAAUGAGUAUCAAUAUAUUAAAAAAAUUGGUUUUUUAGUUUUUUUUUAGGUGUGGAAAUUUUCACAGGAUCGAAAACACACCCCUAUAGCAAUCUAGUAAUAAUUGUGAGUUUACAAAUCCUUGGUAUGCAUGUGUGGGUUGUGUAAUUCAUUCAUGCAUAAUCAUAAUAAUAUCAAGGAUAAGAUUAAUAAAUUUGCGGGCUCUUAAAGUUUCCCUUGUUCAUAGAUGUUAUUACUGUUCUUUUCUUAUAAAAAUGUUUUUUCUUAUUAUCCUCUGCGUCGUUGCUUGCUUUUUCUUCAAUGUUUUCUUUUCUUGUCCUGUUCCAGUUUUGACAUCAUUUGUGCAAACUGCGAUGCAUCAAGUUGUCAAAAGUUCCGUAUUUGAAUAAACAACUGUAAGUUAUCUGAAAGCGUGACGUAUCAAAAUUAUGAGAAUUAUUAUUAUUAUUUUUUUAUAUUAUAUAUGUAAUUAUAUCAAUAAUAUAUACAGAAAGUAAAAAUUAGAGGUUUUUGUUUGUUCUGCAUUCGAUUGUUUUUUUCGGAAUUUAAAAGCAAGUUUACUAUUGCAAUUAUCUGAUUAACUAAUUGGUGUUUAAAUCAUCGAAUAUAGAUAAACAUUGAUCAUCCUUAAACUGACCGACUCUUUGUCCAUCAUACAUUGAGAUAAAAGGUUUGUUAGAUCCACAUAAGACGAGCGCCCCGUCCAUUGCUCUCGCGGCUCUGUGAGAUCUCUCCGCGUGAUUCCGGCAUCUCCGCCGCCGCCGCCGCCCUCCUUCUACUCCCAUCGCCUCCUUACAGCAGCUCGAUGCGCGCCUCUAUCACCGGUUUUCUGCGGUGAGAAGAAGGGUUAAUUCGUCGCCCGACGGCACGCGAGCGAGAGCGCGUCGAGAAUGAGCAUCUCGAUUGAGAAUGGCUCGGUGCUGAGAGUGGUCCAAGUGACCAUGCGGCACGCCGGGCCGACGACCCUCAAGCCACGAGUUCCGAGCCGCAGUGACGUGGUGACGAUCCCCGACGACGGGUGUGGCCCGAGUAUCGAGGUCUGCGGGCCCACCCUUCUAGUAUUAGGCCCUGUCUCCAUCGUUCCUUGAAUCCACGUGGCAGCAAUCAGCAUCGUCGUCGUCAGAAUCCCUGACGACCAAAUAAAGGAAGCCGGACGCUUCGAGGCCGGAAAGCAGACUGGCCAGCUGGGCUCCCCGAGCCGGCAUGUUCUUUCCGAAGCACACGUAGUAGACCGAACGGCGCAGGUUUCGUUCGAGCAUGUUAUUAAUAAGCAACUGGACAGUGGUUCCAUGAAUAUCUGUUGUUAUUUUCGUUUUGUGCUUCUUCAUCUUCUUGUUUUUUACGGAGCGGAGCCUCCUUUGAAGAAGGAGUUCGUCCCGAACGAAGAGUUGCAAUGGCGGCCCACGUGCCACGCGCGGGUUGCCCAAUCGCCUCUCGAAAGUGGCGGAUGUAGUCGGGGCUCAGCUGUAGAGCUGUUUCACCAGCCGUGGUCGAAGCUCGACCCCGCCUCCGCUCCCUUCCGUCCGUCUAUCGGCGAAUCUCGCCGAACAUAUUUCUCGGAACGCGGGGGGCUGCCACUAUCCGGCAUUUGCGAGCGGAGCAUACCACCGGACGGGAGAGGCGCGAGUGACGACGGGUGUCGCUACUCGAGCGGGGCAGGGGCGGCGGUGGCGCAGAUAGGGCCGAAGAGCGCGGUGCCGUGGAAGGACGAGGCGGGGAUGCCGAGUCUCUCGGCUACGGGGAUUGUCCAGGGGAAGAAAUAGUCGCGGAGACGACGGGUCGCCGGGGCUAUUCUCGCGAGCAUGGCGCCUAAAAGGCUCACGGGAGUCCAGGCAACGGCGACCAUGAACUCACGAAUAGAUAAUUAUCUAUUAAUUUUUUUUUGUUCGCUCUGCUAUAUUACACGCUAAGAGAAACUGAGUAUAGAAAAACCUGUAACGCGAGGUCUGAGUCGGAAGAGUAAAUAAUAAAUAAAUAAAGAAAUAAAUAAAUAAAUAAAUAUAUAUAUAUAUAUAUAUAUAUAUAUAGAAUUGAGCUAGAAUAUUUUUAUAAGCAUCAAUUCCUUAGUGUUUCUAAGUUUUUAACCAUUGGAUUUAUUUCUUAAUUACUAAUAUCCCUUGGAUCAAACACUAUUCCAUCUAUCACCACCUACCACAACCAUCGUCUCAACCUUACAUCUCUCCAUCCAAUGGCUAAAAACUCAAAAGCACCACCCCUUUGUGCUUUUGAGAGUAUUCUAACUCAACUUUAUAUAUAUAUAUAUAUACACACACACACGCUUUUUAAAAUUUUUGUUCUUCUCAACAUUUUUUUUUUUUGUUUUUGCCUACACUAAGUGUAAAAUUUUAUCGCAUAACUCUAUUUUUUAAUAGUUAAUAUAACAAAAUUAAAAUUUUAUACAGUAUAAAAAAAUUCUAUACCCAGUGUAUAGGACAUACUCAAAUACAAUUUAUAAUUAAUAAAAAAAGUAAACUUUAAAUACCAUCAUUGUGAUUUCGCACUUUGCCAUUUGAGUACUAUGUUGCUUUAAAGUCAUUACAACUUAGUAUUUUGUUGGUUUUCAGUUUUUUUUUUUAGUUAGUUCUUUCCGUUAGUAUUUCGUGUAAUAUCAAUAUAAAAAACACUUCAGAUGUUACUCUAGGUUACUCAGAUAUUCACUUUAGAACCUUAUUUAAUUUUAUAUAAUUUAAAGAAAAAAUUUGUGGAAUGGAAUAAUAAAAGGGAGAGAUUGGAAGGCCAUAGGCUUAUAGUUAUAUAUACUUAAACACAUGGUAAUAAAGAUUAAACAAGUAGGAAACCAUAUGGGUGGAUUGAAGUCUUUCUCUAAUAGAAAUUCUAUACAAAAAGGAAAUUUUUAUCUUUAUUCUGCUUAUCUCAAUUUCUAUUUAUUUGGGGUCUAAUAGAUUAUUACCAUUUAUGAUCGCGGAACGAGAAAAAGUACUGGCAGGCUCCUUCGAGGAUUUAUGAGCCUAUUUUUUUUUUUUUAAAAAAAAAUAGUCUCUCCUACGUAUUAUUAUAUAUAUAUAUAGAUAUAGGUGAGUCAAUUUCAUGAAUCCCAGUACAAAGUGGGUAAAAUACUGAUAGAUUCCCUAUAAGUUCUAUAAAUAUAUCCUCUGAACUCACAAUUUACACGAAAUUUAUCAAUCUAAUCACCUCUCUGCACUGUCUUAGUCAUCACUGUUAGCUUUUACUAGUUAUGAUAAAUGAGCGGUUAAAGAAUUGCGAUUUAAAAUUGUAAAAUAAAUUAUUUUGCCCUAGUUUUUCUUUAAGUUAAAAUUGUCUAUGGAAACCCCUCAACUUAUUAUGCAUUUUUUGAAACAGCUCUUCAACUUUCAUUUUUUUAGUUGAUAUCCCAUUUAUCUUUUAGUUUUUUAAAAAUUAAAUGAUUUCAGUGUUUAUGAAAAAUGAGAGUUUUUAGUAUUUUUGAUAAUUUUAUCAAAUUAGAUGGCUUAUUUAUAUGUUUAUCGAAUAAAUAAUUAUAUAUAAAAAAAGUUUAAAUGAAAAUAAUGUUAAGGAAUUAUACUCUUUCUUUAAUUUGAGCUUAAAUUUUUUUUUUAUAUCAAUCAAAAUAUUCUGUAUAAUUUAUAUGCAUUAAAUGACGAUUAACAAAAUGGAAAUAUAAUAUAUUUUAGCUAUUUGAACAAAACGCUCUUAUUUAUUUCAAUCGAAGACAGAACAAUACUGUGUAUAUAUGUUAUGUGAUUUACUUUUGCUGUAAAUAGCGAAAAGAUAGAAAUAUAUAAUUUAUUUCAACAAUUACGUAUUUACUACUGAACCUGAACGAAUUCAAAACUAAACAAAAACAAUCAGAUAAAAUACUUAUAUAUAAAAAUAUAAUUUUUGUUAUUUUUUAAUAAUUAAUGUAGUAUAUUAAUAAUUUAUUAAUAUGUAUAUAUUAAAAUACUUAAAUUUUUAGAUUGUACAAAAAAAUAUCUUUGAAAUAUCUAUUAGUAUUGUCUACUUUAAUAAGAAAUAAAGGGAAAUGGUAUUUUGAGGAGAAUUUACACUCGCUUUUUACAUAUGGGACUUACGGGAUUUUAAUUAUGAGGGGUAUUAUGAUAAUUUUAAACUAUUGGAGGGUAUUUUGAUUGUAUCCAUUUUAGAAAGUUAUUGAUGAGAUUAAGUUUCUAGAAGGCAUUAGUGAAAUUUAUUCUAGUAGUUUAGUAUAUAUAUAUAUUAUAUAUAUAUUAUAUAGUCGUCUCCGUACUUUGGAAAGUACAGGAGGCCCGUGCUUGUUAAGUUGUUUUCGUGACCUAGGUUAUAGUUCAAUUCGAACGAUUCGGCUCGUAGAUAUGAUCUAUUUUAUUGGAACUAUCUAGAAACUAAAUUUUAGAUUUUUGACUAUCCAUUUUUACUAAGCGAUCAAAUGAUCUAAAAUGCAUAAUUUUUAACGGUCGAUGUGGCACAUUUUUAAGUUCAACGGUGUAGAAGUAUCCAAAUUACAUGAAAAUUUAAUAGAAAAUUCUACUUAACAUCAGUAGCAAGAUCAAUAUUUCCGAUUUAAAAUUUGAAUCCUUUAUCACUGUUUUUUAUGAGAUUUUCAUUUUCAUCUGUUCAUUUUGAGGCUACUCGUUUACUAGACAAACGAAAUCAAAAAAUUAUGAAAUUGGUUUCUAGAUAGUUCCAAUAGCGUAGAUCAAGUUUAACGGAACCGAUCGCCGAAUCGGAUGUCCCAUCAUCGAAAACAACUUACAAGCACGAGGCCUCCCGUACUUUCGAAAGCAUAGGAGCCUAGCUCUCUCUCUCUCUCUAUAUAUAUAUAUAUAUAUAUAGAGUGAGGCUAUUAUUCUUUUGAAAGUACGGAGCCUUCCGUAUUUUCAGGUUGUUUUUAAUGUUGCAACUUUCGAAUCGUCGAUAGGCUCCGUUAAAUUUGAUCUAGAGUAUUUGAAGUACUUAGAAAAUAAAUUUUAUGAUUUUUCGAUAUAUCAUUUGCCUAUUGAUCAGAGAGGCUCAAAAUCAAUAAUUUUUAUUUUAAUUUUUGCCGCCACCGCUUCAUUGGGGACGGAUCAAGGCGGAAGCAAAAAGAAAGAAUUGAUGGGUCUCCCACCUUCUGGUCCAUUUCUUAUUGGAUUCGGGGCGGAUUACUUUUUUCUUUAAUUUUAGCUUCUGCUUACCGACCCAAGCGGAUCGGGUGGGAGUUCUACUAAUCCGGAUCCAUUUGCAUCCUAUUUUUUAUAUAUCACUUAUGUUGCCAUGUGAUGGUAAAACAAACAAUUUUCUCUGAUUUCGGUUUCUGGCUACGUUAACUAUUUAGUUUGUAAGUUUUCACUGCUUGAUAAUUCUAAUAAUUUAUAAGUAAUGCGUAAUGAAUUUUUUGUUUCUUUCUAGAAGAAUAACUUUUGAAAACGAAUAAUGGAAAUUGGUUGAAAACGAAUAAUGGAAAUUUUGGUUGUGAACCACUAGCGAAUGGUGCAUGUGUGCCACAUUUAAUUUAUGAUUAUGCGUUAUCCACAUACCCCUAAAAGCCCUUCUCGGUUGGAGAAAAUCUUGCUUAAUUUUAUUUAUUAUUAGUUAUUUAUUUCUUGGUUUGUUUUGUUUUUGCUCAACGUGUAAUGUCUCACAAUAAGAAAAAUGAAAACAUCAUCUCCAGAGGAAAAGCAUAAAUAAAAUAAGAUGAAAACACGAAUAAACAAAACGACGUUCAAUUCUCAGUGCUCUCACACACGAAAAACCAAAAUAUUUUUAAUUAAUUAAUUUUUUUAAAUCAUGUGUAAGUCCUAUUGUGGCACUCCAAUAAUUUGGACCAAUAAUUUAGGCUCAAUAAAUUGUUAGUAAAUAAAUUUGAAAAAGGAUACCUUGGAACUAAGGGCUGUUUGGUUUGACAUAAAAAAAAAUUAAUUAAUUAAAAAUAUUUUGGUUUUUCGUGUGUGAGAGCACUGAGAAUUGAACGUCGUUUUGUUUAUUCGUGUUUUCAUCUUAUUUUAUUUAUGCUUUUCCUCUGGAGAUGAUGUUUUCAUUUUUCUUAUUGUGAGACAUUACACGUUGAGCAAAAACAAAACAAACCAAGAAAUAAAUAACUAAUAAUAAAUAAAAUUAAGCAAGAUUUUCUCCAACCGAGAAGGGCUUUUAGGGGUAUGUGGAUAACGCAUAAUCAUAAAUUAAAUGUGGCACACAUGCACCAUUCGCUAGUGGUUCACAACCAAAAUUUCCAUUAUUCGUUUUCAACCAAUUUCCAUUAUUCGUUUUCAAAAGUUAUUCUUCUAGAAAGAAACAAAAAAUUCAUUACGCAUUACUUAUAAAUUAUUAGAAUUAUCAAGCAGUGAAAACUUACAAACUAAAUAGUUAACGUAGCCAGAAACCGAAAUCAGAGAAAAUUGUUUGUUUUACCAUCACAUGGCAACAUAAGUGAUAUAUAAAAAAUAGGAUGCAAAUGGAUCCGGAUUAGUAGAACUCCCACCCGAUCCGCUUGGGUCGGUAAGCAGAAGCUAAAAUUAAAGAAAAAAGUAAUCCGCCCCGAAUCCAAUAAGAAAUGGACCAGAAGGUGGGAGACCCAUCAAUUCUUUCUUUUUGCUUCCGCCUUGAUCCGUCCCCAAUGAAGCGGUGGCGGCAAAAAUUAAAAUAAAAAUUAUUGAUUUUGAGCCUCUCUGAUCAAUAGGCAAAUGAUAUAUCGAAAAAUCAUAAAAUUUAUUUUCUAAGUACUUCAAAUACUCUAGAUCAAAUUUAACGGAGCCUAUCGACGAUUCGAAAGUUGCAACAUUAAAAACAACCUGAAAAUACGGAAGGCUCCGUACUUUCAAAAGAAUAAUAGCCUCACUCUAUAUAUAUAUAUAUAUAUAUAGAUAGAGAGAGAGAGCUAGGCUCCUAUGCUUUCGAAAGUACGGGAGGCCUCGUGCUUGUAAGUUGUUUUCGAUGAUGGGACAUCCGAUUCGGCGAUCGGUUCCGUUAAACUUGAUCUACGCUAUUGGAACUAUCUAGAAACCAAUUUCAUAAUUUUUUGAUUUCAUUUGUCUAGUAAACGAGUAGCCUCAAAAUGAACAGAUGAAAAUGAAAAUCUCAUAAAAAACAGUGAUAAAGGAUUCAAAUUUUAAAUCGGAAAUAUUGAUCUUGCUACUGAUGUUAAGUAGAAUUUUCUAUUAAAUUUUCAUGUAAUUUGGAUACUUCUACACCGUUGAACUUAAAAAUGUGCCACAUCGACCGUUAAAAUAGUCAUUUUUUAGACCUUUUGAUCGCUUAGUAAAUGAUGUCAAAAAAAUCUAAAAUUUAGUUUCUAGAUAGUUCCAAUAAAAUAGAUCAUAUCUAACGGAGCCGAUCGUCGAAUUGAACAUCCUAUCAUCGAAAACAACUUACAAGCACGGGGCCUCCUGUACUUUCAAAAGUACGGGAGACGGACUAUAUAUAUAUAUAUAUGCCCAGCUCUGCCGCAGCUGGCUUUCGCCUCGAAGCUGUCCGCUGUCCUUUAUAUUGGGUGUCAGGGAUUCUGACGACGAGAUGCUAAUGCUGCCACGUGGAUUAAGGAACCGAGUGGAGGACAGGGCUAAAACUGAAGGGGUGGCGCCCCGCAGUCACUGAUACUGGGCACGCCUCGGGGAUCGGUAUUCCACGCACUUGGCUGGACCGUGUCUUGAGGGGUCUCGCCGGCGUCGCGAUGGUCAUCUGGCCACUCUCGCCGAGCAGUUCUUCACGAUGCAGGCUCAUCGUCGAUCGCGCUCCGAUCGGAGUGCCGGUCGGGGCGACAAGUACGCCCUGCUUCUCACCCGCAGAAAAGUCAUUAGAGGUGCGCGCAAAACUCGAGACUGCGUAAGGAAGGGCGAUGGGGGGAGGAGAGGAGCGCUGGCGGCGCGCGACGAUUCGGAAUCACGCGAGAGACUAGCAGAGGCCGCCGAGAGGGCAUGGAGCGCGCGGGCUCGUAGCUAUGUGGAUCUACACAAACCUUAUCCAAGAGUUGUAGAUGACAAGCAGCGGCAGUUAAGGAUUGAUCAAUGUUUUAUUAUAUCAUCGAUUAAACACAGCGUACUGCAAUUUACAUCAAUAAUGCAAUAGUAAGCUGCUUGAUUAUUCGAAAAAACAAUUCUGAAUGGCAGAACACAAAAACUUAACGUUUUAGUUCUGUAUAUAUUAUUGAUAUAUUGACAUAUAUAUAUAUAAAAAAUAAUAAUAAUAAUUUCUCUUAUUUGGAUCUGUCACGCUUUCAGAUUAUUACAGUUUUUAUUCAAAUACGAACUUUGACCAAUGUGGUCAUCGCAGUUUGAUGCCACAAAGAGUGUCAAACUGAACAGGACAAGAGAAAGAAACAUUGAAGAAAAAACACACACAAAACAAACCAGGAGAAAAAAAAAAAAUAGAGAAGAAACUUUAUUAUAGAAAAGAAGCAGGUAAUUAGCAGCUAUGAAAGGGAAACUGUUAACGGCCCCCCCAAAUUUAUUAUCUUAUCCUAGUUAUUAUUAAUUGAUGUUAUGCAUGCAAAGAUUAACAACACACUUGCAUACCAAGAUUGAUGAAUCAGCAAUUACGUAGAUUGCUUAUAGGGUGUGUUUCAUCCUUUGCAAAAAAUUUAAAAAAAAAACGAAAAACUAAUUUUUUCCAAUAUUUGAUUACUCUAUAAAAAUUUAUAGAUUAUUUUAACAAAGUAGGAGUUUUCGUUUUCCGCUCGUCUCCGAGUGGAAAUGAAACUGUGAUCUGAGAAAAUGCAGUCAUGGUGCUAGAAGAGUCACCCAGAGACCUACCUCUCUCUCUCUCCUCUCUCUCUCUCUCUCAUUAUAUAAAUAUAAUUAGUAGAGAGAGAAAAGAGUGUUCGCUGGAUAUCUAUCAAAUAGCAUUAGAUUUGGUGCUACCGUUUUUUCGCCGUUAGAUUUAAACUCUUUGACUAUUUUCACGUCCGUAGAUUAUAUCAAUAAUAACGCACUCCAAUCCUAUGAAGCCCACAUCAUCCUAAUUCGUACAUUUUAUCCAGAACCGAAAAUCUAAUUAGCCAUCAAUAACUUGGUGCUAUUGAUAGCAUUGCCAGUAUAAUAAUAAUAUAUAUAAUAAUAAUAUUAUGAUAUAUUAUAAUUAUAUAUAUAUAUUAUAUAAUGAGCUAGAAUACUUUUAGAAGGACUUUCUUUGGUGCUUCUAAGUUUUUAGCUCACUGAUUUAAUUAAUAGAUUUUGGGUGUCAAACCUGAUUUCCCACCAAUCUACCGCCAUCAUCCUAGCCUCGAUUUUUUCAUCCAAAUGCUAACUCAAAAAGCAUAAAUUUUUAGUACUUUUGAAAUAUUCGAGUGACUUACUAGUUAUAAUAAUAUAUAUAUAUAGUUAUAUAUAUAUAAUAUAUAUAUAUUAUAUAUAUAUAUAUAUUAUAUGUAUUAUUUUAUUUGAUAAUAAAUAUAUUUUUUUAAUAUUUAUUAUAAAUGUUAUUCAUAAAUAUGAUUUUAAUUGUUUUUAUAGUAUUAAAUAUAUAUACUAUCAAUAUAUUAUUUAUAUACUUAUUGAUAUAUUUUAAUAUAUUUUUAUUUAUAAUAUAAAACUAUAAAGUAUAUAAUGGAUUAUUUAAUCAUAUAUGUCCAAUAAUAUAUUGUAAAUAGAUAUAAAAUAAAAAAAUACAUAUAAUAGUUGUUAUAUGAUAUUUUUUUUUUCUUUCAAUCAAACACCGUAAAGAAAAAACUUUUCUUUGUUCUUAGCAAUACAACACUAUCAGCCCAUAAAAGUUUUUUUUUUAUGUCAAACCAAACAGCCCUAAGUUCAAGGUAUCCUUUUUCAAAAUUUAUUUACUAACAAAUUUAUUGAGCCUAAAUUAUUGGUCCAAAGUAUUGGAAGUGCCACAAUAAGGACUUACCAUGUUCUGCCCCGAGCCGGCCCAUGCUCCCGAAGCACACGUAGAUAACCGAACCGGGCCGGUUCCGGUCGAGCCAUUCUAUUAGAUAAGAACUGGACCCAGUUGGUUCAUGUGUCUGCUCUUUUCGUUCUUGUGCUUCUUCAUCUUCUUGUUUUUCUUUCGGGCGGAGCCUCCUUUGAAGGAGGGUUCCGUCCCGACCGAAGAGUGCAAUGGGGCCCACGUGCCACGCGCGGUGCCCCAUCGCCUCUCGAAAGUGGCGGAUGUAGUCGGGCUCGAGCUCGUAGAAGCUGUUCACCACCGUGCCGAAGCUCCGCCCCUCCGUCGUCGCGAUCUCGCCGAACAAUUCUCGGAACGCGGGGGGCGACUUGCCGCUAUCCGGCAUUUGGGAGCGGAGCAUCACCACCCGGCGCGGGAGGCCGCCGAGGACGACGGUGUCGCUACUGCCGAGCGGGGUGGCAGGGGCGGCGGUGGCGCAGAGGGCGAAGAAGCCGGUGCCGUGGAAGACGAGGCGGGGGAUGCCGAGCUCCUCGGCUACGGGGAUUGUCCAGGGGAAGAAAUAGUCGGAGACGACGGCGUCGACCGGGCGUAUCUCGCGGAGCAGGCGGCUAAAAGGCUCACGGAGUCCAGGCACGGCGACCAUGAACCUUCACGAAUAGAUAAUUUAUUACUAAUUUUUUUGUUCGCUCUGAUAUCACGUAGAGAAACUGAGUAUAGAAACCUGUUAACGGAGUCUGAGUCGGAGAGUUCGGCGAUGUUCUCGAUGCCGGGAGGGAGGCCGGUGAGGGCGGGGGAGGGGAAGGGGAGGAUGCGGAGGCUGAUGUUGGCACCGGGGAGGCGGCGGGAGUCGAUGAGGGGGGCGUUGGCGGGGGUGGCGACGACGGUGGUGGCGACGCCGCCGCGGGCGGCAAAGAGGUUGGCCAUGUCCACCAUGGGAGGCAUGUGGCCCGUAGCCAUGAAAGGGAAGAACACGACGUGCAGGGGACGUCGAGCUAAAUAAUCCGAGCUCUCCAUGGUCACAGUUGUAUGUAUUUCUCUCUCUCUCUCUCUCUCUCUCGUGUGUGUGCUGUGCAUUAUUGCAAUGGGAGUGAGUAAUAAUGGAGCCUCACUCUUGCAAUGGGAGUGAGUAAUAAUUUGAGUCAGCAGUGUCGAGAUUGUUUUGGACUUUGGUGGCAUGUAGUUACAACUAUACUGAAAUAGUUAAUAUAUAUAAAUGUAAAAUAUUUAUUAUUCGAUUUGAUGUGUUUAAAUUUAACUGUAAAUAGAAGGUAAGCUCACUUAUCUAAUCACUUUUUAAGAUAAAAAAAGAUUAAAUGCAUGUAGAUUCUUGUAAAUAUAGUGAAUUAUAAAUAUAUUCCAACAAAGUUCGACUUUUAUAUGUUAUUUCUAUAAAAAUUCUAAUAUUUUCAAAUAUGUCCUUUUGGUUUGUUAUCUUUAUAUAAUUAUUUAUAUUUUAAAUAAAAUGUUAUUUUUGUAAUCACAAGUAUGCUCCUUUGAAGCUACACCAAUAUAAUAUAAGAGGAGCAAAAAUUCGAGUUAUCUCAUAAACUAACUAGGAUUAAGUAUUUAACCUAUGGUUAACUAAAAUUUUCUAACGGAUUUAAUUUAAUGAUAGGGACAUAUUUGAAAAUAUUAGGAAUUCUACAGGAACAACAUAUAAAAGUUGAAAUUUAUAGAGAUAUAUUUGAAAUUUACUAUAUUUAUAGGAACCUGUAUAAAAUUAACCCUAAAUAUAUAUAUAUAUAGUAUAUAAUAUAUAUAUAUAUAUAAUAUAUAUAUAUUAUUAUAUAUAUAUAUAUAUAUAUUUUUUGAUAGAGAUAAUUUUAUCAUAUAUAUAUAUAUAUAGAGAUGCGUUUGGUAUGCUUCUGAAAGCGGAGCGCUCUGUGUUUCAAGUUGUUUUCGAUGUUCGAAACUUUCGAAUCAACGAUUGGCUCCGUAGACUUGAUCUAGAGGUUUUGAAAUAUCUAGAAAAUAACUUUUGCGAUUUUCGAUAUCAUUUUCUAGUGAUCGAGUGGUUCAAAAUCACGUUGAAAUAAAAAUCUUACAAAUAUAUGAAUGACAUUAAAUUUUAGAUCAAGUUAUUGAUCUUGUUUUAUAUGGUAAUAAGAAUUUUCUAAUCAAAUUUCACGUGAUUUGGAUAUUUUCUACACCAUUAACUUGCAACCGGCUCACUAUGGCCGUUAAAAUUAUUGAUUUUGAGAGCCCUUCGAUAUCUAGGGCAAAUGAUAUCGAAAAAUCGCAAAACUUAUUUCCUAGAUAUUCAAAUACUCUAGAUCAACUCUAACGGAGCCGAUCGACGAUUCGAAAGUCCGAACAUCGAAAACGACUUGGAAGCACGGAGGCCUCCGUGCUUCCAUAAGCAUACCAGCACAACUAUAUAUAUAUAUAUAUAUAUAUAUAUAAUGAUAAAAUUUUAGAAAUAUGCUUUUCAAUUACAUGCAACUAAAUAAAUUAUUUAUACCUAUAGUAUUUAUGAUUACAUCCAGCUAAUAAGAUAUAUAUAUAGUUAUAACUGUUAUAUUUUUCAAAUUUAUGAAUCUUCAACUAUACUGUAUUUUUAAUUCUAUCUAACUAAAUGGUCUUUUAGUAUAGUUGGCUAAAGGCUUGAAAGUUGGUAUCGGAGGUUCAAAUUUCAAAUUUAAGUUGUUUUAUAUUUUUUUUAAAUAAUUUUUUUUAAUGUUUGUAAAUAAUAUUUUUAUACAAAACAGUGUAGAAAGGGAUGCUAGAUUGCUUAGUAAUUUUUCCGUCAAAGUAUUUAUUUGGUAACAAAAUAUAAAACCUUAGAAAUAAUUUUUUUUCCUUCUAAGAUUUUUUUUAUUUAUUAAAUAAAAUAUUAUUCAUCAUUUAGCUGGGAUGUGUUACAACGUAAUUAAAUACGGACAAUAUAAAAGAAAAUUCCACCAAUAUAUUAAAUGUUAUAAAAUUAAUAUUUAAAAAAAGGAAUUUGUGAUGUAAACAAUUGUGAAAAUUUAUUAGUGGCUGAAGCAUUUUACAUUGUUGUAAUAGCCUUUAAAUAAUAAAAAGAAAAGGAAAAAUUUUAUGCGGGUUCUAAAAUGGCCACGUCUAUUUUAUUUUUUAGGUUAAUUUGCAAAAUACCUCAUGCAUUUAUUGUGUUUGGGAAUUGGAACUUUAUAUUUUUCUCGAUAUUUAAUCCUCAAUUUUUGUGGUUGUUUCUUUCACUCUUUUCCGUAAUCUUAUCUUUAAGAAAAUAUUAAAUAAUUUUAAAGGUUAAAAUACACAUAUGUUAUUUGAAUUAUAAAUUAUUUUGAAUCGGCCUGUUAAUCUUUCAAAAUUUUAAUUUUAUUAUCAAUCUUUUAAUUUAUUUAAUUUAAAUCAAUCAACAAUAUUUUAAUUUAAAAUUUAAACUUAUUAAUUAUUUUAAUAAAUUUACAGUUUCGAGAAUUACAUGAAGUGUACUAACUAAACUUAUAAAGAUAAACGACGCAGACUCAAAUCAAGUAAAAUGACAAGAUAGAUAAUCAAAUCAAAAUUUUGACAACUUAGGUGUUAAACUUAAAAUGGUUCAUAGUUUUUAUCAAUUUUAACUACCAACCAUUUAAAUUGCUGGUUUGGAAAAGAGAUUCAAUGAACACAUUAGUGCUUUUACAAAAUUAUUGACUAUAAUUAUCUUUUAUCAAACAAACUAAGAUAAUCACAUAUCAGAGAUAUUCAUAUUAUUUAUAUCAACACAUCAAUUGCAUUUAACAACAAUAAUUCAAAGUCCUGUUUGUAUCGUUUGAGAAAUAUGUAAUGUUUAAGGUUUAUUUGUUUGGGCAAAAGUGGAGAAAAGUGAAGUUGUGUCCGGCUGUAAAUGAUCACUACAAUAAAAAUGAUGUAUAGCGACAUUUUUAAAUGUCAGUAUAUGUCAAAAAAAGUGCUGCUGGCUAAAUUACCGACACUUUUAAAAAGUGUUGUUAUAUGUGGGGUCGUUAGGUAUAUAGUAACAGCUAAAAAGUAUCGGUAUAAUCUAAAAAGAAUGCUGCUAAUUUACCAACACUUAUUUAAGUAUUUAGCAACUGUCGGAACUCUACCUAGUUGGCUGCGGUGGCGGAGGAGGAGGAGAGGGAAGGGCUCUUCGUUUAGGAUUUUGGUGAAUUGAGUGAGGGGAGAAGGGGAGAUGGUAGUCCAUUUUUUUUUUUUUCUCUCUUUUUUGUUUGUAAUCGAGCUGAAUGAGCCGGGUGGGAUAGGUUGAGUAGAGUAAUCUUUUAUUUUUGAUUGGAUUGGGCUUUAUAUUUAGGCAUUGAUAGAUUUUUUUUAAAAGUUUUGGUAUAAAUGGAACACUUAUGCAAAAGGUCCCAAACAUGUGUUCCUAUAACUUAAUUCUGCUGUAGUGGAUCAUUUUUGUUGUUUGUUUCGCCGUAAUAAAAAUAAAGUCGAAACUUAAGUUAUCCGAAAUAGCGUAAUUGACUUCGGCCCACCCCGAGUUGAAGUCAAUUACGGUGAAGAAAGAUUAAAAAAUAAUAAAAUAAUACAAUAAGUAAUGCUAAUUAUUUUUAAAUAUAUUUAAUUAUGACACUAAUUAUUUUUUUAUUUAGUUUGUAUAUUUAAAAUAUGAUAAAAUUUGAGGAGUUGAGUUUUAUUAUUAAUUUCUUUUAUUUAGUUUGUACAUCAAAAAUAUGGUGAAAAUUGAUUAGUUAAAUAUUAUAGUAUUAUUAUAUAUACACAAAUUAUAAUGGAAUAUAAUUAUAUUAUUUUUUGUUAAGUUAUUUUUUAUUUAUAUACAAAUUAUAACUUUACAUUAUUCAUUUUUUGUCAAAUAAACACAAGAACUGAAGAAACUUCACUUUAAUAAUUAUAAAAUAAACAGUAUGGGAGAAGUAGCUUUUACCGAACUCUAUUAAAAUCCAAAGUCAAGUUUUGGUGAAACAAACAGUUAUAUAAGGCCUAUUUGUUUUGGUGUAAGUAAAGGAGUAGAACUUAAAUUUCAUUAUUUUUCGUAUUUAUUUUGAUGUAAAUUUAAAAAAUAAUGUAACUUGAGUUACUUUAGACCUUUACAUACUCGUAACUUUUCCUUUUAGACUAUCGAACUCAAAUUCUAUCAUAUUUAACUUUCUCUAAAAAUUUUAUUAAAUAUUAAAAUCUAAACUCCACUUCCUUUGGAUUGAGUUAGAGUUUUUAUUUUUUAUUUUUAUUUUUAUUUUAUUAUUUUUUUUUUACAAUGAGUUAAGAUUAUUUUUCUACAAUUAUGAGAAAUUUAAUUAUUUAAUAGGUUAGAUUUUAUAGGGUUAAUUUUAUCACUAUAUUUAGAAGAUAACGUGAUCCAUUUACUUACAUUAAAAUAAACAAUAAAAUUCAAAAAAUUAUUUUCAUCAGUAUCAAAUUGCAUCAAAACAAAUAGAAAAAGUGAUUGAAUUUAACGUUUAGACUGUAUGAGUAAUAUCGAAAUAAACAAUAAAAAAAUUUAAAUGCCACUCUCUAUAUAUAUCACUAUAUUUGAAUUAUGUUAGAUUUAGAAAUUCCUAAAAUCAUACACUCUCUAACUUUGGAUAAUUAAGUGACUACUUUAGACAGGUGGUAAAAAUUAGGGAAAACUUCAAAAACCCCCCAUGUGGUUUCGUAGUUUCUCACUUUGCCUCCCCGUGGUUUAAAAAUGUAUCAAUAUGCCCCCCUGUGGUUUCUUUUUUCUCUUUUUCAUAUCAAUUUUAUUAUUUUUUUUUUCUUAAAUCAGUAAUAAAGUUAAAAUUAAAGGGUACUAAAGUGAAUAUUUGAUAAAUCUAGAUGGGUAUCUGAAAUUUUUUGUAUAUAAUUUAAUGAAAUAUUAACGAAAAAGCUAUCGAAAAGAUAAAAAUAAAACCACAGGAAGGUAAUUUGAUACAUUUUAAACCACAGGGGGGCAAAGUGAGAAACUAUGAAACCACAGAGGGGGUUUUUGAAGUUUUUCCUAAAAAUUAUAAAGAUAUAUUUUAAAGUACAAAGCAAUUAUUAUACCAGAACAAGCUAUUAAUUAUCCCCCAACAUUAACAAGUGCACAAAAAAAGUCCACAAAAGAACUAUUUAGAAAAAAAAAAAAAAAAAAAAAAAAAAAAAAAAAAAAAAAAAAAAAAAAAAAAGUCCACAAAAGAAGUAUUUAGAAAAAAAAAAAUGCUAAAUUAUGAAAAAACCCUUAUCAAAAUCCGAUUUUUCACUUUCCUUCCUGUCAUCUAAAAACCUACACUUUGCCUCCUUGUAAAAUAAAAAAUAUUCACUUCGCCCCCUGCCGUUAGUAAUUCGUUAGAAUUUCAUUUAUAAAAUAUUAUUAUAUAAUUUUUUAUGCCGAAAAUACUCUCAGUCUUAUCUCCUGUGAACAUGAUGAGAAACAAAAUGAUGAAGGACAAAAUAAUUAUUUUAUUAUUACAGUUCAUAUCGUACCCUCCUAAUUCAUUAAUAAUUUAUAUGAAAUCCUACGUGCCAAAGAACAGCAUCGUAGAUAAUAUUUAAUGUAAAAAUGAUUUGCUAUUUAAACACUUUAGUUUUUUUAUUCAUACAUAAAAGUUACUCAUACUAAAUUGUUUUAUUUUAUUUAUAGUUUUAUCUCAAAUCCAAUCUACGUUGAUAAUGUAUGUGCAAAUUUUGUUUAUAUAUGGAAUGUAUCUCCAUUAGAGUAUUCCAAAGUACAUGGAAAAAUUAAGUUUCUAAAUUUUUAUUUUUUUCGUCAAAAAUACUGAUACUUAAUAUUUAUAAAAAAAAAAUUUAUUUACAGCGAAGUGCGGAUUCUACACUAAUAAUAAUAAUUUGAUGGAACUAAAACAAUAUCCGUGAGAGUUCUUUUUUUGGGUAAACUUCAAAUAUCACCCCUGUGGUUUCGCACUUUUUCACUUUAGUGUCCUGUGGUUUAAAUUGUAUCAAAAUAGUAUUCCAUGGUUUUAUUUUUAUCUUUUCAUUAGCUUCCCCGUUAAUAUUUCGUUAAAUUAUAUACAAAAAACUUCAAAUACCCCACCUAAGUUUGUCGAAUAUUCAUUUUAGUACCCUUUAGUUUUAACAUUGUCACUGAUUUAACGAAAAAAAUUUGUGGAAUGUAUAGUAAAAAAAUAAAAAUGAAACCACAGGGCACUAAAUUGAUACAUUUUAAACCAUAGAGUAUUAAAGUGAGAAAAUAUGAAACUAUAGCGAUGGUAUUUGAAUUUUUUUUUCUUUGAAUUUUGCCAGAUAGCGAUCAUUGUGCACAAAGUGCGGUGCCAGAAACAAAGAUUUGCAAGUUGUAACAUGAUGACAAUAAAAUUAAAUGAAAAGAGUGACCAUGUGAAAAUUAAAAUGCUUUGGGUCCACUAUGUAUAUUUAUGUACUAAUUAAAAAGCAUUGACACACAUACCCCACAAUGACUUCCCCAAUAAUGUUCACUAGUGUAGCAAUCCCUGCGAAACAGACGGAUAGAUAAUUGAAGAAAAAAUACAAAACGACGAUAAAAAAAAAGAAAAUGGUAAUAGAAAAAGCGACGGUGAGGGAUGAGAUUCAUCUUGCCGAUAAAGAAUGGUAACAGGCGAAGAAACCGGAAGGGUAGUAGUUCGGCCCAAUGCAGAGGUAUGACUCUGUUCAGUUCAAGCAAAAAAAGAAAAAAAUCCGGUUCGAUUCGAGUAAAGAAAGAGAAAAAUAUAUGGAGAAGUUAAGUCGGUUCGGAAGAGCCUACACUCAAUAAUGAUUUGUCUGGUUUACGUAAAGAAAGAAAAAAAUAUGUGAAAUACUUGAGCCAAUCCGAGGUGAAUUAAGAUACACCCAACAAUGAAAAAAAUAUUACCACAUGACAACUAUAGGAAGAAUAAUGUAUAGGUAUAGACUUUAGCUGAUUCGGAAAGCCUACACUCAACAAUGAUUUGUUCGAUUAAAGCAAAAAAUAAAGGACUAGUUCUGCUCAAGCCAAAAAAGAGAAAACUAUAUAAAAAAUUUGAGCCGAUUCGGAAUGUAGCUCAUACUCAAUAAUAAAAAAAAGUUGACAUGUGACAAAUUUAAAAAGAAUAAUGUACAGAAUAUAGAGGUAUAGAUGUGUUGCACAUGUUAUAGUUAAGCCUUAUAUUCUUUACAUAUGAAUUUCAAUGCAUCAAUAAUAUAGUAGAACACACUUUAUGCAAAGGUCCAAAGUAUUUUUCUUAAUUAAAAAUUUUUAUAUUAUAUAUGUCAAUAUAUUAAUAGCCUACACGAACAGCAUCUUAAAAGACAAAAUAGUUCGCAUGAAGGGAACAAAAUAAAUAUAUAGGGGGACCAGAACCUUCCAUUGGUGACAUUUCAUCUACAUGUAUAUGUAAGCUUUUAGAGGCACGGUGACUUCAAUGCUAUCAAGUUAUUUUCAAUGUUAAAAAUUUUUUCAAAUCGAUGAUAGCUAGAUACUGUUAGAUUUGAUAUAAAGAUUUAGAAGUAUUUAACAAAUACAGUUUGUAAUUUUUUGGUAUUAUUUUUACAGUGAUAAAAAAUAUUCAAAAUCAAUGGUUGAAAAAAAAAAAAAAAAUCUUACAAGAAGAGAUAAUAUGACGCUACAAUUUUAGAUAAAAAAUAUUCAUCUUAUUCAAACAUGAAGCCUACCUCUGUAAGAGGUGCGUAGGAAAUAGAGUAUCCAUCGCAAUUUGUACGACAAACAUUGUAGAGUGCGGAAUCAGUUAAAUUAUCUUUCAAUACAGGCAUAAGCGAAAAUUCAAAUUACUGUAGUUGGCUAAUUAAAUAUUGCUCAACUCUGGAAUAAGGUUUGUUAGAUCCACAUAAGACGAGCCUCCUGGCUCCAUUGCCUUCUUCGCGGUCUCUCCUAGCUUUGUCACGCGCCUCCGCAUCUCCACCGCCUUCUCUCCUCUGCCUAUCGCCUUCCUUAUUGCAUUCUCAGUUUGCGCACUCUCUAUUACAGGCAUUUCUGCGGCAAAAUAGGUGAACUUCAUUGACCCGAUCGAUACGCCAAUCCCGAGCACAUCGACGAUGAGCCUCUCAUUGAAAAAUUACUCGGUGUAGAGCGGCCAUGUGACCAUCAGCACGCCAGCGCAAAUCCCUUCCAGACACGAGUUCCAGCCGCAGUGCGUGACGAACCCCCCGACCGAUGCGUGACUCAGUAUCAGUGUCCGUGGAGCCCAGCCGUUCAGUACCAGGCCCCUGUCCUUUACUCGUUCCUUCAAUUCAUGUGGCAGCCAUUUUGCGUCGUAGUCAUCAUCAAGAGUUCAUGACAACCCAAAUAAAAGGACAGCCGGACGCUUUGAGGCCGAAUGCAAGCUGGGCCAUUUGGGCCGACUGAAGUCGGCCCAUGCUCCCGAAGCUCACAUCGAGAACCGAAUCGGGCCGGUUUCGAUUGAGCCAUUCUGAUAUAUAAGAACUGGACCUAGUUGGUUCGGGCGCUUGUGGUUCUCAUUCUCGUUCUCGUUCUCGUUCUCGUUCUCGUUCUUGUGCUUCUUCAUCUUGCCUUUCUUUCGGACGGACUCCGUCUCGAUUGAAGAGAACGACGGGGCCCACGUGCCAUGCGCAGCGCCCCAUUGCCUCUCGAAAGUGGCGGACGUAGUCGGGCUCGAACUCGCAGAAGCUAUUCACCACCACGCCGUAGCUCCGCCCCUCCGUCGCCGCAAUCUCGCCGAACAUUUCGCGGAAUGCAGGGGUCGCCACACUGAAGUCCUUCAUUUGGGAGCGGAGCAUCUCCACGGGGUGCGGAAGGCCACUGAGGACGACGACGGCGUCGCCACCGCCGAGGGGCAAUGAAGUCCUACAUAUAUUCAACGUACACUAAAUUCAUAUGUUAAAAUAAAAUAAGAAUCAAACAACAGAAUAUAUAGCAAAAUACAACUCUCUAAAUUAGUGAAUACAAAAUAAACACUUGAUACAAAAUCUAGCUGGUCAUUGAUCAGAAUCCUUUUAUUAUUUGAUUUAAAUCAAAGUUAAAUAUAUCUAAAUGUAAAAUAAAAUAAAAAAAAACUCAUAACAGUAUUUUAAUAUUUUAUUUUUAUUAUAUAUAUAGAAAAUUUAGCUGGAAUGCUAUUAGUAGCAAACAAGUUCUAUUGCCACCCAUUUAUUUUGACGAUGAAGCCUCCAAAUCGAAGAUUUAUACCGUUAAACAUGAUAUAUACCACUUAAAGUAUCUACUUUUUCAAUAUUAUCCUCUUGUUCAUUAAGUGAACAAAAAAAUAAAUGAUUGAAAAUAAAUAUUCUUUAAAAAAUGAUGAUAGAAAUCUUUGUAAUCAAUAUAAAGAGUACAGAUCUCGUUUUAAAUAGUAUUAUUGGCUUCGGCCCAGGUCGAAGUCAAUUACGAAAAUAAAAUAAAAUAUUAAUCUAUCUUUUACACUUUAGUUUUUACGUCUUUCAUUUUUAUCAAAAUAAAUAAUAGAAUUUGAUAAAUUUCAGUUCCACAUAUAAGACAUAUAAGCUAUCAAAUUCCCCGUUUCUUUUGCUUUGGAAGUCGUGUAUUUGGACCAGGUACGUUUAUAGUUGGUUCUUUGGUCCAUUAAUCCAUGGGCCCGCCCAUUUACGGUCCGGUUCGAAUCCGAUCCAAUCGAACCGUUCCCUACCGAUCCAACGGCUCACGUAUCAUCCGUACAUAUCCCCGCCGAUUCGCACCGAAACCCUAAUCUCCGCCUAUAAAUACUCGCCUUCUAGGGUUUUACUCCUCUCGAUCUCGUCCCUCUCGCACACCGUCGCCACUUGAGCGCGUCCUCUGCGGCCAUGGUACGAAGCCCACCUCCUCUCGAUCUCUUCCUCUUCUUCGUCUUCGUGGAUCCCUACUCUUUCGAUCUCUUCUUCUUCUUCUUCUUCUUCUUCGUAGCUUUUGAUGGGUUCCCUGCUCAAUGUAGGCGUCGGAGAAGAAGCUAUCGAACCCCAUGAGGGAGAUCAAGGUGCAGAAGCUCGUGCUCAACAUCUCCGUCGGAGAGAGCGGCGAUCGCCUCACCCGUGCGUCAAAGGUCGCGCCUUUUCUCUCGACACUUUCGUAGUUUCGUAGAACCUGUAUCCAGUGCAUUGUUUAGCUCACGAUUUGGUAGUUAUUAAACUCGUUUAGUGAUUUUUGGGGUGAUCGCUCACUUUGCUUUGAGUAAUUGAUUGAAAUGGUGAUACCUUGGUAAAACUAGAUCUGUUUCUGGUUACUGGAGUUAGUGUUGCUGAACUUUAGGAUUUCAUAGGGAUUCUGCGUUAGGGAGCUAAAAAAGUGAUCUUUCUUAAGUUCUUUUGCCAUGCAAACUCAGAAGUAUUUAUAUUUGUAACUUGACCAAAUAAUGAUUAGUUUCAGUAUUUUUGUAGGCAUAUUUGAUUUUAGGGUAUGUUGAGGGAAUGAAACAGUGUAUGAACUUUUGGGUUUCAAAUGGAGAAGUAAUAUGCCUCUUUUAUUGCCAUUCCCUUGACAUGAGUUUGCAACAUGGUAUAGUGUAAAGCCAUGGACAUCACCUAGAUAGCUUGUUUGAUAUCAUUUCACCUAUAUUCAUCAGGCUUUUGUUUUUGUCCUUUUUUUCAAUUGUUGGUUAAUAACUUGUCAAUUGGCGUAUGUUUAGGUAAUGUCAAGUUGUGCUUAUCCAUAUUUGUUAGCCUUUGAAAUUGUUGGUUACCUGCCAUCCCUUUUAGAGGCUUCCUUAAUUUUUAGUUUGACGUAAUUGCUUUGAGUUGGCAUUCUCGAAAAUUUAAUUGUAGCUCUUGCUUAUGCACGGCGAAAUAUUCUUGCCUUUGCCAGUGAGUCAAGAAGAGUAAGAGGUAUUUCAAAGCAUUUUUACACCAUUUUAAAGAAAGCUCAAUCCUAACUCAAUUGGUUGGGAUCACGCAGCAUGAAUGAGUCGAAUUUGUACACCAUUUCAUUAUCUGCACCCUGUUGGAUAAAGUCUUUGAGUAAUUAUUAACAAUUUAAUUAACAAUUUAAUUGAUGAUGAAUUGGCUGACGAUAUGAGGUCUGCAGAAAUCUUGAGCCACAGUUGUCAAAAAGAUUGGUGUAAAGGCACUUUCUGGACCAUUGUUGUAAUCCCAUUUGUUGGUUAUUUGAUAUGGAUGGUUGACUGACAAAGUUUACACGGCCAUAUGUCGCAUAGUUUUUUUUUUUUCUCCUGUCAGCAUUGUUAUUUCCAAAUAAGAUACGUUCCAAUUGUAUGUGCAAUGUGUAGUUUUGCCAUGUUAUCAUGACCUUUCGGCAUACUCUUAUUUUGUUUUUUACCCUGCCAAUAUUUUGCAGGUGUUGGAGCAAUUGAGCGGACAAACUCCUGUGUUUUCAAAAGGUCAUUUUGUGAAAAUUGUACAACUGUGUUCUCCUCUAUAUCUAGAAUGAUGCUGAAACCUCUUUCUUCCUUAAAAUUUCAACAGCCAGGUACACAGUUCGGUCUUUUGGUAUCCGGCGUAACGAAAAAAUUGCUUGCUAUGUCACGGUUCGUGGUGAGAAGGCCAUGCAACUUCUCGAGAGUGGCUUGAAAGUGAAAGAGUAUGAAUUGCUGAGGAGAAACUUCAGUGAUACCGGGUGUUUCGGCUUUGGUAUUCAGGAGCAUAUCGACCUUGGGAUUAAGUAAGAUGCUUAUUCAUCCAGUUGCAUUGUUAUAAUCCUAUAAUUGUUUGUAUAGGACAUAACUGAUCUUUUCCCUUUUCAUGUGUUUCCUUGUUUAACUUAACAGUUACCAAUAUUGAUAUAGAUAUACUGCCAGUAUUGUUGCAUGUUAAUUUUAAAUCUUUACAUAUUAUUUCGGUUUAUAUUUUUGUUUUGAUGAUUCAUGAUUAGAGCUGUAGUAGGGUCUGCUGUGAUGAGUACUGCUUUCUUCUGACACCUCUUGUAUGAGAAGGCUUCUUAAAGAAGCCCUUCGCUGAGCAGAGUAGCAACUCUCUGAGCUCCCUUUUGGUUGACAAAAUCCUUUUGCAUCAGUUGUUUAUGAUGUUACUGUGUAAUGAAUUUACCAGGCAUGUCUUGUUCUAAGAAACUGCCUAGUCCAUUAGCUUAAUAAAGUCAUUGACACUUACCAUAUAUUUUUGUUAUGGUCUAUUUAUAAUUCUAGUUCUUAUAUAUUUUCUGUCAAUUAGGUGGUGUUUGGUUUUGGAAAAAUAUUCCAGAGAACAGUUUUUUGGCGGGGAAAGUAUUUUCCAUAAGUUUGGUUCCUAGGAAAAGUAGUUUUCGGGGCAAAGUUUUUUUUCAGAUUUCAUGUAAUAUUAGUAUUUUUGUUUUCCUAAUUUUUUAUCCGAAGAACGGCAAUUGUAAAAAAGAGACUUUUCCAUGGAAAACAUUUUCCUGGAAAACAAUUUUCCACGUUUUUCUGAGAAACCCAACCCCCCCUUAGCUCUUGAUGUUUGUCAUGGAUAACAAUUAUACCCUUCCAUUGGUGUACUAUCUCCGAAAACAGCCAUGUUAUCCAUCAUUGUUAGAAUUCGCCUACACUGAGGAUUCAAAAUUUAACAAUGAUGUUGAUGUAUGCUAGUCGACGAAGACUAGUAAAUUGAUUAAAUGAUUACAAUUGAAGAGGAUUUUGAAAGCUACAUCGUGAAAAUUUAGUCUAUGGGGACCGACUUUGUUAUUAGCUUCUUUUCUUAAUUUAGUUGAAGCAAUCCUAUUGUUGCAAGAAGCUGACAGUCAUUUUCGUUCAGGUACGAUCCGUCUACUGGCAUAUACGGGAUGGACUUUUAUGUCGUCUUAGAACGCCCCGGAUACAGAGUGGGCCGCCGCCGCCGCUGCAAGUCCGGUGUCGGGAUCCAGCACAGGGUCACGAAGGAUGACGCGAUGAAGUGGUUCCAGGUGAAGUACGAGGGCGUGAUCCUCAACAAGUCCCAAGCAAUAGCCUCGUAGGUGCGUUCGGACAUGCCAUAUCACCUCAUCCGAAGGUAGCUCAGUUUCUUUCAGUCAAAUUCCGACUGCUGGAAAACGAGUGCUUUUUAGGUGAUUCUUUUUUUUUUUUUUUUUUUCUUUUCCUGUGUUUUAGAAAUGACUUGAAUUUUCAUGUGCUUCUCUUCGAAGAGCCGAGUUGCCUUUUCUUCUGCUUUCGGUAGUAAUUGGAGUACUGCGAUUUUGUUAAAAUGAAAAAUUCAUCUCAUUCCUUUCUCGCCUUUACGAUCUUGACGCCGAUUGUUGUGCUAUAUUAACUCGAAGUUCCUUGAUAUUAUCCUUCACAGUGAUGGUCUAAGGUUCGAUUUUAUUUGCCUCUACUAAAGUUUACCAUCUUAUGUUUUGGCAAAUCAUGCUUUUUGAAAAAGUAGAAGAGAAAAUAGUAGUAGGACUUUUCUUGUUAUUACUGUUGUGGAAGUGUUCUGUGUAUAUGCAUAGAAAAUCAACCUAGAAGUGAACCUGCUGUGUCAUUGUUAGGUUUAGGCAUAUUUAGUUUUGUGUGUGUGUGUAAAACCACUUUUCCCUUUUAAUAUUUUCUGGUGGAUAUUUCUCUUGUGGAAUUGUUUGUGCAACACUGCAACUUAAUAUAAGGUUAUUGCAUUAUUAUUAUUAUUAUUAUUAUUAUCAUAUCACUCCUUACUAUUGAGUUUGGGGGAAAAUUAAUUUUCUUGCGUUAUAUUUUUCUAUUGUCGUGGAAUUGAAAUUUUCUCAGUUUUGCACUUUUGUUUCACAAAAAGUGAAUGCCAUAAGCACUAGAGAUGUUGGAGGGGUUAAUAUUAUGUUAAUUUUUUUUCUUUUCUUUUUUUUUGGUAAUUGGCUUUUGUUUGGAAUGGAUCAAAGUCAAUUAUGGUGUUUUAGGGAGUUUAAAUUUCGAUCGAAAAUGAAGUUACGGUGAACUACACAACAGAAGUGGGCAUUUACAGUUGAAAGUUUGCGGUAACUUCAUUUUCGGUCCAAAAUUAAACUCUCCAAUCUAUUAUAUAGGGUAAUUAAUUUCGGCCCAAUUAAUUAUGAAAUGAAAGGCUAGAAAAAAAGUUAAUGAAAUAUUAAUUUAUUUUUUAUAAUUUUAGUUUUUAUGUUAUUUAAUUUUUUAUUAAAUAAUAGUAAAAUUAGAUAAAUCUUUAAUUUUAUACCUAUAUAAAUAAAUAAUGAAAAAAAAAAUUUAUUUUAAUUAUUUGAAUUAUUUGAAAGUCUAUUUCGUUUUGAACCUGUUCUUAUUCAAUGAAAUAAAUACUGCAUCACGAAAGAAAUUAUAUUUUAAAAUUGCGCUCAUGUUUAGCUACAGCUGAAGCACGUGCUUUAAACUUUUUCAUAGCUAGUGAUAGUGUUAACACUAUAAUUUAAAAAAAAAAAAAAACUUCAAAUACCACCUCUGUAGUUUCGUAUUUUUUUACUUUAGCAUUCUGUGAUUUAAAGUGAGGUUUCGCACUAUCUCAUUUUAGUACCUUGUGGUUAAGAAUGCAUUUCGUACUUUCUCAUUUUAGUAUCUUGUGGUUUAAAAUGCAUCAAUUUAGUACCAUGUGGUUUCAUUUUUCUGUUUUUAUCAGUUUCUUUGUUAAUAUUUUAUUAAAUUAUAUACAAAAAACUUCAGAUAUUUUAUUUAGGUUUAUUGAAUAUUUACUUUAUUAUCCUUUAUUUUUAACUUUGUAUUGAUUUUUUUUCCUCCGUUAAUAUUUUGUUAAAUUAUGUACAAAAAACUUCAAAUACCUUACUUAGAUUUAUCGAAUAUUCACUUUAGUACCCUUUAAUUUUAAUUCUGUCAUUGAUUUAACGAAACAAAAAGUUAAAUGAAUAAUAAAAAGAGAAAAACGAAACCAUAUGGUACUAACUUGAUACAAUUUCAACCAUAGGGUACUGAAAUAAGAAAGUGCGAAACCACAGGGGCAAACUUGAUACAUUUGAAGUUUACCCUAAAAAAAAAUAUACAUGUUUUCAUUCUAAUUUUAUUUUAUCGUAAUACCAAAUUACUCCUUAAUUAACUUCAAAAUAAAAAUGCUUUUACAGAUAGCUUCUAUCUAAAUAACAUUUUUGUAAACAAUUAUGAAAAAAUAAAAAAAGAAAUUCAUUUGCAGUCAAACUUAUGAAUUCGUAGAAAACUAGCAAUGUACCCGCUUUACAGCGGAUGCGAUUUUUAAGUUCAUAAUUAUUAUAUUAUAUUACAUUAUACGUUAUAUAAAAUUACUUAAUAGAGUCAAAUUGAUAGAAGUACUAAUUUUUAUAUAUAUAUAUAUAUUUCUUAUUUGGAGAGAGAGAAGAGAAUAAUUAAGUAAAAGUUAAAGUAAGAGAGAGAGAGCGCAUUGUCAAACUUUCAAAUAUAAUGUAUUUUACUCAUAAUUUAAAAAAAUAAAAAUUAAAGAUUUUUAAAAAUGUAUAAUUACUAAAUUAAAGUUUAAAAUUAUUUUAAGUAUUCAUAUCUUUUGUUUGGAGAAAGAGAGAAAAGAGAGUAUUAAAUUGAAAAUUAUUAACAUGCACAUUUCUCCAUGAAAGAGAAAAAGAGAAAAAAAAAGGUAUGGAUAUUAAAUUAAAUAAAAAUUAAGUAAGAGAGAGUACAUAUUUUGUAAAAAAGAGAAAGAUACGACGAAGACGUUGUGUUACAUUAAAAAAAUUAUCUUCUUUAUCGAUCCAAUUGAAAUAGAAUAUAUUCAUGACCUACACUAUAGAAGAAGUACCCAAUAUUUUCAUUGCCAAUUCAUGACGUAUUGGAUCCAGUUUACAAUAUUACGCAUGAUGCUCCUAAAAAUCAAUUAUAAACAAUUCAAAAAUUAAGAUUUAAUUUAUUGAUUAUAUUUUAUAAUAUUUGAAAUAUUUAUGUAUUAAAAAUUAUAAACUUUAAAUAUAUUUAUUAAAGUAAAAUUAUAUAUAUUUUUUUGAUUUGAUCUACGAUGCACCAUAUGCAUGAAAUACACCAAAUCGACGCCUGUCCCACAAACAAAAAUCCCACACGGACUUUAGUAUAUAAUAAUUGUCGUAGAAAAUUAUGUGUAAGCAACUCUUAUCCUUUUCUUUUUUAUUUUAUGCCACGUGGCGCUCAGACGUGCGUCCAACUCGUCCAAACGAGAUACAUGGUCGGACUCUUUCCGAGGUUUCGUUAACACGUUCCCGUGCGGGGCCCACAUGAUGUUUGUGACGUGUCCUGUGUGGGCCCCGCGUGAGCUUUGAGAUGGCACUCUGAUGGCCACGUAUACCACUUAUGGCGCACGUUAGGACACAUUCAAAUUGUACCCCAAAGUAUUCCCUUUUUCCGUACUAUUUAGACUUUGUUUAGGAUUGCGGGGAGAUUGCGUUACCUGCGGUGAGAAACGACGAUGGAAAAAUACCUCGUUUGUUUCCAUACGUAAUAUUGCGUUCCGCAUAUCGCGAUGAGUUGAUUAUGAUAUAUUUUUCGCGGUCCCACCGGAAAACACAGAAGCAUCUCCCUAUAUGCUUUUUUUCUCAACUCCAUUUUAUCUAAUAGCGUUAGAUAAAUCUCAAUACCAAACUAAGCCUUAGUGCGAUUCAUGAGGGUUAUGAGUUGGAUUAUUUAGCACCAAUCUUAGAUUACAAAAAAAAAUGUGGGUCUAUAUGUGUUCAAUUAUAAUUUGAUAUUGAAAAGUAUAAAAAAUAAAAAAUUAUUACUGAACUAAUCUUGAAAACUUAUGACACUCGUAAUUAAUUCAUACAGUAAAACGAAAUAACAUAACUGCUAAAUUCGUAUAUGCGAACUAAUGACUUUGUCUUAUGCCGAGAUAAUGUUAGCAAUAACUAACACCGAAUUGAUCUUUUAUUUACACACAUUUUAUAGCUUUGUCCCUGAUAAUUUUAUUAAGGUUUAAAGUAAGAAACACUUUUGUGGGUACGUUUUGGGGUACGCGAAACAUGCUCCAAACACACCACACACCCGGUGGGCCCUAGAAGGUACCCGAAGGUGUCCCCAAACCAUUUAAAAUUAAAAUUAAAUUAAAAAAAACUUCAAAUUACACCUCUAUGAUUUCACACUUUCUCAUUUAGUAUCUUAUAGUUUAAAGUAUAUCAACUUUUUAUUCUGUGAUUUUAUUUUUAUCUUUUUAUUAUCGAUUCUACUAAUUUUUUUAUUAAAUUAAUGACAAAGUUAAAACUAAUCGGUAUUAAAGUGAAUAUUCGAUAAACGUAGAUGAGGUAUCUGAAGUUUUUUGUAUAUAAUUUAAUGAAAUAUUAACGAAAAUGGUGACGAAAAGAUAAAAAUGAAAUCACGGGAUAUUAACUUGUUACACUUUAAAUUACAAAGUAUUAAAGUAAAAAAAUAGAAAAUUAUAGGGGUGGUUUCUAAAGUUUACCCUAAAUUAAAACCACAUCUCUCUCUAUAUAUACACACACGCACNAAUUAUAAACAAUUCAAAAAUUAAGAUUUAAUUUAUUGAUUAUAUUUUAUAAUAUUUGAAAUAUUUAUGUAUUAAAAAUUAUAAACUUUAAAUACAUUUAUUAAAGUAAAAUUAUAUAUUUUUUUUGACUUGAUCUACGAUGCACCAGAUAUAUGAAAUACACCAAAUGGACACCUGUCCCACAAACAAAAAUCCCACACGGACUUUAGUAUAUAGUAAUGGCCGUAGAAAAUUAUGUGUAAGCAACUCUUAUCCUUUUCUUCUUUUUUUUUUGUACCACGUGGCGCUCAGACGUGCGUCCAACUCGUCCGAACGAGAUACAUGGUCGGACUCUUUCCGAGGUUUCGUUAACACGUUCCCGUGCGGGGCCCACAUGAUGUUUGUGACGUGUCCUGUGUGGGCCCCGCGUGAGCUUUGAGAUGGCACUCUGAUGGCCACGUAUACCACUUAUGGCGCACGUUAGGACACAUUCAAAUUGUACCCCAAAGUAUUCCCUUUCUCCGUACUAUUUAGACUUCGUUUAGGAUUGCUGGGAGAAUGCGUUACGUGCGGUGAGAAACGACGAUGGAAAAAUACCUCGUUUGUUUCCAUACGUAAUAUUGCGUUCCGCAUAUCGCGAUGAGUCGAUUAUGAUAUAUUUUUCGCGGUCUCACCGGAGAACGCAGAAGCAUCUCCCUAUAUACUUUUUUCUCAACUCCAUUUUAUCUAAUAGCGUUAGAUAAAUCUCAAUACCAAACUAAGCCUUAGUGCGAUUCAUGAGGAUUAUGAGUUGGAUUAUUUAGCACCAAUCUUAGAUUAUAAAAAAAAUGUGGGUCCGUACAUGUUCAAUUAUAAUUUGAUAUUGAAAAGUAUAAAAAAUAAAAAAUUAUUACUGAACUAAUCUUGAAAACUUAUGACACUCGUAAUUAAUUCAUACAGUGAAACGAAAUAACAUAACUACUAAAUUCGUAUAUGCGAACUAAUGACUUUGUCUUAUGCCGAGAUAAUGUUAGCAAUAACUAACACUGAAUUGAUUUUUAAUUUACACAUAUCUUAUCGCUUUGUCCCUAAUAAUUUUAAAGUGAGAAACACUUUUGUGGGUACGUUUUGGAGUACGCGAAACAUGCUCCAAACACACCACACACCCGGUGGGCCCUAGAAGGUACCCGAAGGUGUCCCCAAACCAUUUAAAAUUAAAAUUAAAUUAAAAAAAACUUCAAAUUACACCUCUAUGGUUUCACAGUUUUUCAUUUUAGUAUCUUAUAGUUUAAAGUAUAUCAACUUUCUGUUCUGUGAUUUUAUUUUAUCUUUUUAUUAUCGAUUCUACUAAUUUUUUUAUUAAAUUAAUGAUAAAGUUAAAACCAAUCGGUAUUAAAGUGAAUAUUCGAUAAACGUAGAUGAGGUAUCUGAAGUUUUUUGUAUAUAAUUUAAUGAAAUAUUAACGAAAAAGGUGACGAAAAGAUAAAAAUGAAAUCACAGGAUAUUAAUUUGGUACACUUUAAAUUAUAAAGUAUUAAAGUAAAAAAUAGAAAAUUAUAGGGGUGGUUUUUAAAGUUUAUCCUAAAUUAAAACCGUAUCUCUCUCUCUCUCUCUCUAUAUAUAUAUAUAUACACACACGAAGCCUCUCUCUCUCUCUCCUCCCCUUGUACACUCACAAGUAGAGGGAGAAACUCAUUGAGCUCCACGAAGAGAGAGAGAGAGAGAGACGAGGACGAGGACGACGAUGGAGGGGGAGGCGACGAGGAUCAUGGUGGGGGUGAACGAGUCGUCGUUGAAGGGGUACCCCCACCCCUCCAUCAGCUCCCGCACCGCGUUCGAGUGGACCCUCGCGAAGAUCGUGCGAUCCAACGCGCCCGGGUUCAAGCUCCUCUUCCUCCACGUCCAGGUCCCCGAUGAGGACGGUGCGUAUCCCUAAUCGCGAUAUGGAUCUCUCUGAUCCAGUUUUUUUGGUGUUCUAGGGUUUUUGUUUGCGGUUGAUUUUGACACCGAUUUUGGCCAUUGGUGUUGAUUUAGGGUUUUGAUUUGGUUAGGACAUGUUUGGUUGGAGAAAUUUGGGUUUGGAAUGGGAAUUGGAGUUGGACCCCUUUACGAUUCCCAUGCGAGGGUGGAAUGGAGUCGAAUCUCAUUUUUGAGGUGGGAUUUGAAAUGUUCAUGUCAAUUCCUGUUCCCGUUGUGAGCUUAACGAACCAAUGGCAUUGAUUAUUCCCAUUACCAUUCCGAUAAUUCUGAUUCCGGUCGCAGACCAAACAUGCCAUAGGUGGCUUCGGAAUGGGAAUGAUAUGGCAAAUUGUGCUGUGAGGCACGAAUUUUGAAUGUAGUCUCAGGAAAAAAAACCAUUUUGAUGUUGUUGUAUCAAGGGAGUAAGAAUAUUAAAGAAGCCAGUAGAGAAGAGAAACAGUAAAAAUGUUCAGUUCGGGGUGUCGAAGAGAAUCAUAGUAUCUAUAUAUAUACGCAUGUAAGGAAAUUGGUUAAUUGAAUGUUGAUAAUUAAAAUUCCAUUGUUAUUUAAACUCUUGCCCUAAAAUUUUUCCUGAUAAUGUCCUUGGUUCGCCAAAAUAUUUUGCUUGCUAUCAAAUACUGAAAUUUGGGUCAGCAUCAUCCCAAACCAUACUUAAAUGGCUAAAAAUGUAUAUGGCACUUUGCUAAAUGUGGAUUGUAAAUCGUGAUUUCUUGUUGUACAUAUACAUUUAUGGUGUGUGACUAUAUACCUAUAUAUGUAAAUGGUUAUAUUCGUUAGUAACAAUAAUCACUUUUAUCGACAUUUUCCUAUAUUUUACUAUUUUUGUCUCUCUGGUUCAUCACACACUUUAAGCUGAAAACUAUCAAUGCGAAGUUCCUGAUUCUAGAUAGUGUUCAAAAAGUAGCUAAGCCGCCAAAAGAAAAGUUAGAUUUGUUCCCACCAAAGCUGGAUUAAACUGUGAAGCUGGUGAUAAUUUCUUUGUGCAAAUAGAACUAAAGCCUGCUUUUAGAAAGCAAGCAUGGUUUUGGGCAUUUGUUCGACCUGUUUUUGUGUUGAUGCAGCUCUGGGUAUUCCUGUAGAUGCUGUGUUCACCAUAGUACGUCAUUCAUAUACUGUUAUUGGACUCCAUUUAGUGAUAUCAAAACACACACGUCUACGGCAGUUAUUUGGGAUCAAUUUGACGGGCAUUAUAAUACCUUUGCUUCCUGUCUUGAAUAAGAUUUUUGUGAAAGCAAGUGCUAGCUUGUCUUGCCGCUUGGCUCCUUAAAUCUCAUUCCAUCUCUACCUCUCUCCCUCUCUCUGCACCUUCUACAUGAAUAAAAUAACUUCUUUUAGUUGGCUUGGUUUUCAGUGAAUGGUCUUUAGGGCAUUUUGUGCAACAAACUGGUUGAAUAGUUUUUUCACACUUCUCAAGGUCAUUGUUUAUUAUACAUGAGGACUAUUUUGUAGCACAUUUGUGCACAUCAAAAUAAAAUACUUACAGGAUGAUCUAAUGGAUCGACAGAGAUGUUCUGAUGUUCUUUUGCUGAGUUUGGCUUACAUUUCUGACUUCUAUAUUUCAUGAUUGAAGCAUCCCUUCCCUAUUUAUUAGGAAUGUCUAUCAUGUUACAGUGAACGAAUAGUUUCAUUGUAAUUCCCAGCUUUAGCAAUCCCAAAUUAUUGCCAAUUUACAGGGGUUCCUCUCUUUAUUAGUCAUAUACUGCACCUACUAGUGCCCACAUUUUCCUUGAUAUUCUAGUUUGGUAAAUAGCUUCAAACUUCCGUAAUUGCUGCUUGGUUUUCUAUUGUGAUGAAUAGUUUCGAACCUUUCUAAGACUUUAAACUGCUGCUUGAAUCUCCCCCUUACUUUUUGGAUGAUUUAGUGAUUCCACACCUGUGAAACCUUAUGCUAGCCUGAUUUUUGGUUUUCCAUCAAUGAGCGUGGUGAAUUUGUGGACCAUCUCUUUUUCACUGUGUGCAUAAAUUUUAGAUAUGCUGUCACUACUAACACUCUUUAUGUCGUUUUUGUUGUGAACAAAAGCAUUUGAUGACAUGGACAGUAUCUAUGCGUCUCCUGAUGACUUCAAGAGAAUAAAUCACAGGGACAAGAUAAGAGGGCUUCACUUGCUGGAGUACUUUGUAAAUCGCUGUCACCAAAUUGGGGUAAUUGAUAUUGAUCAAAUCUUCUGGCAAUUUCUUUCGAAUGGUUUAGCAUUUGCUUUUUGGUCUUAUCCAUUAGAACGGCGAUGCUAGUGGUUUUAAACUUUUUUACUUUUGCUCGACAGUUGAACUGCGAAGCAUGGAUCAAAAGGGGUGACCCAAAGGAAGUUAUCUGCAGCGAGGUGAAGCGAGUCCACCCUGAUAUGUUGGUUCUCGGAUGUCGUGGCCUCGGACCUUUCCAAAGGUAUCAUAACGGCUUAAAUUUCUUUGAUGUGCUUUUAACACCUUCCAAACUAUCGUGCUAGCUUAGAAGUUUGUAUAACGCCAAUGUGUCUAUUUUGGUUGCGGAUGGAUUGCUGUCAAUUUUCUUUAAAUUCAAAGCCUGUUUGUUGCUUCCUUUUUCCCCCCCCCCUCCAAAUCUUAGGCUAUAUUGCCACAGGAGAUGAAUGGUUUGAAUUAUGCUUUGUACUCUCUACACAAGCAUAUAGAACGUUUUCAGUUACUUGAAUACCCUUGGAAUACUCUUUAGUAACUUACGGUGACAAUUCGGUUGGUGCAUAUGUGAUUAUAGGAUCAUUGAACUAGAACACACUACUGCAAAUUUACUGGAACAUAGUCCUCUUGCUUGGCAAACUGUGUUCAACCUAUUGUUUAUAUUCCUUUUUAGGAUAAGCUUCACAAAAUGGCCCUAUGGUAUAGCGCGUUUUUACGCCGGAGCCCCAACGUGUCAUCCUAAUCAUUUAGUUGUGUGCUAAGGUUGCUACUACGGUUUUCGUAGGAACCUUUUUAUGGGCCUUGGAAGAAUUUGGGUACGUAUUGUGUCUGGGUUGGGUUUCGAUAAAAGCCCGUUAAGAAAACUUGAAUCCUCUAAUGGGUUGCAAGUCAAGUUUAGGUUAAAACCCGACCCGACGAAAAAGUGAUCAAUAUAUAUCCCAAAUGGGAAAGUAGAACUACAAUUAUGUUCUCAUUUUAAGCUGUGUUCAUUUCUAGAAAAUGCUACCACUGCAGAAAUUGCUGUUAAAAUUAGUCUGACGCAAAAUUUCAAUCAGCAUAUAUAUAUUUAUGCUGCAUGAAGGUGCUAUUUAAUAUUUAUGUGAAAUUUUUCGUUCACUACAACCGUACGCUACAACCCUAAAGUCGUUGAUACUUCAUUUUUAUUUUUUUUUUUUUUUACUAUUUCCCUGUAAAAGAACUAGCCACUUACCAGUUACAACUAUUUUAUGCUAUCCAGGGUUUUCGUGGGGACGGUCAGCGAGUUCUGUGCGAAGCACGCCGAUUGCCCCGUGAUCACCAUCAAACGCAAGGCCAAUGAAGCUCCACAAGAUCCCGUCGAUGAUUGAUCCUUCCACGAUGAUCAAAAUCAAGUCGUCGCUUACUCCGUAAUGUACAAAAAUAUAUCAUUUUUACCGCAAUGCUUCGAACUAGAAAAACAUGGAAAAGAAGGUAAAACAAAAAAAAAAUAAAACCGAACAAACUAAAACUAGUAGACAUGGACUCUGAAUGGGUUGGCGAUCGCUUGGUUGGUUAUGUGUAACCGUGCGAGGAACGGCAUAUACGACUUUUUAAGUUGUUUUUCUUUUUUUGGAAUUCGUUUUUCGCAUCUCAUGUACUUGGUUUUGCUUGCUUGAAUGUGGUGGAGUCGACUGCUCCAAUCUUCUUUCCUCCGAUUUCCGGAUAAUUCAUCGUAUAAUUUUUGCCGCCGCCGCCGCCGCCGCCGUAUUUUUUGUCUUCUUUGGCUUGUUUUUCUCUGACAGGUUUGGCCGCCGGAAACACGAUCUCGUAGCACCCGUCUUCGAUGUCGCCUUUGGCGGCGAGGAAUCCCCGGGGCAGCGGCGGCAGCGGCCUCGGCCUCGGGCUCUCCAUCGCCUCCUCUCGCCUCCCGUCGUAGGACCCGCGCGGCGGCAGAUCACGCUUCGCCUGGCGCUUGCACAUUCGGCGGGCGCAGAGCCGCCCGACGACGCAGGCGACGGUCGCGAGCACCGCGAUCACGGCGAGCACGACGAACACCGGGCCGAACGACUCCCUGGGGCUCGGAGACGCCGCCGCGGCCGGGACCGACUGCGGGUAAAUCGUCGGCUCGGCGAUAGAAGACAUAAUGUUUUAUGUGUGUGUGUGUGUGAGCUUGAUGUUUAUGUCUCUUUUCAAGUCUCUGAAGAGGGCUCUAUAAGGGUGGUGGGUGCUUUUAUUGAUGAGGUAAAGUGGGUUUUGGGUCUCUCUUUUUUCGCUUUAUUUGAAGGCUGGUGGUGAUGAUGUUCUUCUUCUUUUUGAAUUCUUUCUUCUCGGGUUUGUGGGUGAUCUUUGAAUGCUUGGGAAGAAGAGAAAGUGUAAGGAGAUGAUUUGAAUGCUUUGAAGAGGUAGGUGUGUGUGUGUGUGUGUGUGUGUGUGUGUGUGUUGGGUAGGAAUAUUAUGGUGGUACGGGAUCAUGUUGUUGCUUUAAGCGCAUUGCGUUGGAUCUAAGGAAGAGAAGGGCGUGGGGGAACGCCCUUGAUUUGCAUUCUCUUCUUUUAAGGAAAAAAAAAAUUGAGCAAUAACUUUUUUAAAAAGAAAAGUAUUUUGAAAGUGAAAAUAGGGGAAACCGAAAAAAAAAAAAAAUCAAAUAUUUGGAGGAAAGAAUUGCAAAUAAUCCAUUAUUUUAUCUUACACUAUUUAAUGCAAAAUAUUUUAUUUAGAUCAGCAAUGAUGAUGCUAAACAAUGCCUUAUUAAUUGUGUUUGGAAAGUAUAUUUCAUGAUUUGACAUGUGAUUAUGCAACAAAUCAGAUCACACUCUGGCACAUCACAUCAGAUUGUAACAAGAGUCGUGAGGUUAAGUCACAUUGAGAAUGUUAAGCAAGGGGUAUUUAUAUUGAUUGAGCGAUACUAUAAACUUAGGAUUGUCGUAGAGAUUUUUUUUGUAAAACUUUUCUCUUUUUUUUUUUGUGGGGGUGAUGGGAGAGUCAUUAGUACGGCCCAGCAAGAUGCUGAAAAAAUCCAGUAAGCUUCUUUCUUUUGAUUUUUUCUGUUUUUUUAAAUUCUUUUUAACCCCACCCCAACCCCAUCUCCUAGACCAAGAGAACUCUUUUGUGAUGGAGAAGAUGUAUGAUCUUUCUCUUAUUGUGGGUCAUGGAUGAUUUUCACCAUUGUGUGAUCCCGAGGGUGCAUUGCAGAUGCUUUAAUUUGAAGCUCUUCUACUGUUGCUAAAAAAACAACGACGAGAACACCGAGGAGGCGCUUUUUUUUUGCCCCUCUCUCUCUCUCUCUCUCUCUCUCUCUCUCUCUCUCAAAGCUAUCGAGGGUCCCCUGUAAGAAGCGGUAUCAUAACAUUUCAAAAAAGCCAAGAGAAAACAGAACAAAGAAAAAAAAAGGGAAAACUUCAAAAAUUCUCCUUGUGGUUUUGCAUUUUUUUAUUUUAGUAUUCUGUGAUUUAAAGUGUAUCAAGUUAAUACUUUAUGGUUUCGCACUUUCUCACUUUAGUACCCUGUGAUUUAAAGUGUAUCAAAUUAGUACUAUGUGGUUUUAUUUUUGUAUCAAGUUAGUAUCCUGUGAUUUUAUUUUUGUAUCAAAUUAGUACCGUGUGAUUUUAUUUUUCUCUUAAUGAAAUAUUAAACUACAUGAUACUAAAAUGAGAAAGUGCGAAACCACAGGGCACUAAUUUGAUACACUUUAAACCAUAUGGUACUAAAGUAAAAAAAUGCGAAACCACAGGGUACUAACUUGAUACACUUUAAACCACAGGGCACAAAAGUGAAAAAAAGUGAAACUACAAGAAGGGCAUUUGAAGUUUUUCCAAAAAAAAAAAAAAAGAAAAGUUGCAGGCUUUUUAAAUAAAUAAAAUAUAUAAAAAUGAAGACCAUGUGAAUUACUCAAUAAUAGAAUUUCAUCAUAAAAGUUUAUUUCUGCGUAACAAAAAAUAAAAUAGUUUACAAUUAGCUUAAUGUAUCCUACUAUCAUGUAUUUAUAUUAUUUUUAUUCAUUCGAGACAUUAUACUAUUUUCCUAUUCUAAAGACGUUACUGAACUAUCAUGAUUUUAUCAAUUUGUGCAGUAUAAUAAUUAAAUGCAUACCAUUCCUUUUCUUCUAGGGAGGAAUUUAUAUAUUCUCGUUAACUAACUACUCAUAUGAUUCCAAGCACGAAAAUAGCAAAACCCAGUAAAUAAUAGCAAAUAUAAUAAUAUUUCUACUACUUAAGAAUCUAUAAAUAAAUUCCAAAACCAACACUUUGUAUAGUUUCCCAACUUGAGUUGGGAGACAACAAUUUCAAUAUUUUAAAUAUAAAAUAUUUUAAAAAAAACUUAUAGAAUAUUAUAAACUGAAAAACGAAUAGCCCGCGAAUCAUUUCCUGGAAAUAUAAUAAAUCACGAAGUAAAUAGAGUACAUUAUCAUACAAAAAAGAAGUACAUAAAUUUGAGGAUCAAGUGAUAAACUAAAUUUGAAUUUUCAUAUGCAACUACAAAAGGUAAAAAAAAACAAGAAACUCUGAAAAUUACCCACAAAAAAAGGGUAUAGAAGUGCAAGUGAGGAAAAUAAGAUUAAAUAAAGAAAAAUUGGGGUGCCAAGUUAGAGUAACAGCAUGAGCUCAACCAAGAGAAACAUCUAAGUGAUUCGAUCCGACAAUAGAACAAAAUUUUGGAAAAUUAAUCUUACGAUCGAGGCUUCUCCUUCUUUUCCUUGAACAAGGCGAGAAGCGACACACCCGACACCUUAACAACCUUGAAUCUUACUCCGGGGAUAUCACCGACGGCGUGACCCUUCCGUCCAAAUCCGGCAAUCAAAACCUCAUCCUGUAGUUUGUAUUUUGUAUAUAACAUUAUAUGUCAAGAGAGAUCUCAAAAUACCCGUCGUAAUCAUCGAACUACAGCCCAAGUAACCCCACAACCAAGUUUUCGAUUCCUGUAGAGUUAACAAGGAGGAAAAGUUCCACCGAAACUUACGUUUUCUUCGAUAAAAUUCAAGCAACCGUCGUUCCGCACGAAGGCCGCGAUUUUCUUCCCAUUCUUCACGAGCUGAACUCUGGCGCACUUUCGGAUAGCAGAGUUGGGCUGCUUGGCUUCGAUGCCUCUGCGAAAUCACGCGCCGAUACGCCGCAUUCUCAGAAUUCAACCAACCGAUGAAUGUGAAUAUAAUCAUAAAGAAAAAAGAAGAAGUACAUAGUAUUACAAAAUGAAAAGCGAAGCACCCUACAUCUUCUCGAGGACGAUGCCUUUCGCAUGCGAAGAGCCAGCGAAGGGCUUCUUCCACUCGUUGCCGAGAUGGCUUUUCUUGUAUGCCUAGUCCGCCCACCUCUGCCGCCUCCUGUGGCUCUUGAGCUUGCGCCCAGCUCCCAUACCACGCAUCUUCCUGUUACAUGAUUGUAAGUCAUAAAACAAAAUCAUAUGUUCGCAUAAUAUAAACAUUUCUCAAAGUAUCCCAAACUAGUAAACUUUGUUAACGGACGACAAAUACCACAUUGUUUGAUACCCAUAAGAAGAGGCCAUUUGCAAGUCAAUUUAUUUAUAGUCGGCCUAAGUCGAAGCUACUUAUCUAAGAUAGCAGGUUAUAUGAUCAAGGCAUUGGUAAGAUGAGAUUCGAAGAGCUUCCAUAUCCACAUUCUAAACACAUUAUCCUUCUCUUAAAUGUUUCAUCGACAAGCAAAUGAUAUAAAGUGGAUUUCUCAUGAAAACCGUAUCUACACAGGAAAUCUAAAUUUGUCCUCUUCACUCUUAAAAAUUCUCAAACAGAUUCAUCACGUUGUGAAAACAUUGCAAUCGUAGAAAGACCGUCCGAUUUUAAGGAAUAACGGAAAGGUUUGGCUCGCUCAUUAAUCAAAAUCCCUAUUGAUCAAGCGAACAUCCGAUCCACGAUGAAUAAGGAAAUAAGGAAUCAUAAAUCAUUUAUAGUGUCUUCUCAAUAGCUUACCCAAGAACAAAAUCCAACUGAGUAAACACACUAGCUUGCGCAACUGUGUUGCACCCAAAAUUAGGCAUAAAAUCAACAGUGCCACUUCGCAGAACCCAAAACCCUCCAGGUAACGCAAACUACUACUAACCGCUAAUUGUGAUGAACUCAGUUGAAAUAUUAUUUCCAUGUUUUGUUAAUCUUAAAGACUCUCACUAAGAUGAACAGGAUGAGCGAUAAGAAACAAAUAAUGCAUUGCCAUUAAUGCUGUAAAAAAUAAGCUUAUUGCUCUACAAUCGCAAACGAAUCUAGGGUUUUAUUAUAAUUAGGGUUUACAUUUUGUACUCAUUUAGACGAUUUUAAGAUCUCUUCGAUUUAUAAACUAAUGUGAUCAUCAAAACCCCACAACUCCACAAUAAAUCCUGUCGAUCACCAAAUUUCAUGGUCGAAUCACAUAAAUAGAUAACACAUCAACAAACGAUUCUACGUAGCACCCAAUAGCUCGUAGAAUCGAUAGAUGGAGAUUGUGAAGUAAAGAACAAAAUAAACAUUAUAAUUAGGGUUUGAAUCACAAACCUAAAUCAUAUUUAAAAAAAAAAAAAAAAAAAAAAACAUCGCAAAAUGGUUUCCUUGUUGUACCCAUAUAAACGAUUCAAAAAAUCUCUUCUUCUUACAAAGCCAAUAACACAAGUCGAUUACAAAACCCAAUUCAUCGCGAAAAUUUGUGGCCAAAUCAACAAAUUAGUAGUUUCGUUCGGAUCGCUCACCCCAUCUCUGCAGCGUGCUCUCUCUCUCUCUCUCUCUCUCUCUCCCUCCCUCUCCUCGCUGCGACGACGACGACGACGACGAAGACGAACCCUAAACCCUCAUUUUAAUACUCCGGGGGAAUUUAAUUGUACCACAAGGGUAGUUUAGUAAUUUCGCAACAUUUAGGCUAAAUAAUGGGCCGGUUCGAUUGUAACCGCGGCCCGGUUCGGCCCAAUAAAUGUUAGCGGCAAGUGCUAACUCGGCCUUAGGCCCGGUUCAAGAUCGAGCCCGGUCCGGUUCCCACCUAUAACAAGCUCUUUUUCUUUUUUCUUUUUUUUUUUUGGUUAUUGUAUGUAGCUAUUCUGAUGAUUGUUAGCCAGGAAGCUGAUCAAGAAGUUGGAGUUUUGAUCUUUGCCAAUCAUAAAGCACCGACGGCUCUGAUCUAUUGAUGAAAGUGGAUUUUUUUUUUUUUCCUGAAAAUACCUGAAAAAAGCUACAUAGUCACAUAGAUGAACACCCGCUAAAAGUAGAAACACACUGAAUAGAUUACGAGUAGCAAUCCAGCUCGCUAUUCGCGAGCCAGCUUGUGUUCGGCUCGAAAUGAGCUCGAAAUCGAAUCGCUCGUUUAGCAAACGAGCCGAACAUGAGCUGAAUUUUUCAGCUUGUUUAAUAAACGAGCCAAACACGGGAUAGGGUCUGUUUGUUCGUGUUCGGCUCGAUAAUAGCUUGAACACAUAUAUUUUAUAUUUAUAUAAUUUAUUUAAUUUAUAUUUAUAUAUAAAUAAAUAAUUAUAUAUAUAAUAUAUAUAUUUUUAUUAUUUGAUUUUUAGCAAAAAAAAUAUAAAGUUGAGCUCAAUUAUAGAAAAACUCAUUUAUAUGUAAAGUUUUAAUCAUUAGAUCAAAGUCUAAUGGGUAAGAUUUUAUAAAUUUAUUUUAUAUAUAUAUAUAUAUAUAUAUAUAUAUAUAUAUAUAAUCUAAUCUAUUUAUCUUAUUGUUCGUUGGUAUUAACGAGCUGAACACGUGCUGAAUUUUUCAGUUCGAUACUUUAACGAGUCACGAGCCGACUAUAGCUCGAUCGUGUUCGGCGCGUCGACACACAAAUAGAGAAUACCAGAUUUCAUAUUGUAAAUCUAAUCUUAAUUUAUUAGUUUUUAUUAACAAAUGAUAUCCAGAGCAAUGCUCCGAUACACCAUAAGUAUUAAAAUUAAACUCUUAAUUAGUAAAGGGUACAGUUGGAUUUUGCAUAAAGUAACCUAUUGAACAAGUUACCGAUUUAAAUUAGUUAAUAUGACAAUAUUGAAAAAAAAUUAGUAGUAUAUACCAAAUUUGCUAGCAUCCUAUAAUAUUAAGUAUUUUAUUUAGUUUUGUUACUUACCAAAUUAGAUAAUAUCAAAUUUGUUUAGUAUCCAACUCCAAAAAAUUAUUGAAUUUAAAUUUAAGUUUUGAAGUUGGUAUUGUAAUUAAUGUAACAUUUUAAUUUCAAAAUUUGUAUUAAACUUUUAAAUUUUGAAUCUACAUUGCACUUUUAAUUUGAAAGCCAAAUUUUAAUUUUUGAUUUAAAUUAAAAUUUUGAAUUUAACUGAAAGUUUUAUUUUAAAUUUGUGUUUUAUAUUUAAAAGUUGAAUUUGAUUUAUAAUUAAGUUUUUUAUGUUGCUUUGUAUAUAAAUUUACAGUUUAGUUGUAAUUUAAAUUCCAACUAUUGUUGUAGGUAUUUGAGAAGGUUAUAGUAUUCUUAGUUGGAUAAAAUCAAUUUUGUAGACCAAAAUAUUUUGCUAAGACCAAAAUACCCUUUAAAUAGGUACACGUUGAAUGGCACUUAUGCCAGAAUAGGAAGUCACCUUUAGAAUCAUAUUAAAUCUCAACCAUCUAUUUAAAAAAAUAAAUGGUCAAGAUUUACUUGGUGUAUUAAAAUAUUACUCUAUCAAAUAAAAUCAAAUAACUCAAAUAUCUAGCUAAGCAAUUGGAAAGGAAAUGCAUCUUUAGAUGAUCAAUCUUAAAUAAUUAAGCAACAAAUUAAAUCUCAUACAAAUGACCCAUCAUUAAUCUCUAUUCAAAUAAUCAUCUUAUUUCUAAUAGAGACAAAUAAAGAGAACAUGACCACUCUAAAAAGAUAAAAACAAAACUAAUUAAACACUAUAAUUCAAACAAGCUAAGGUUGAGAAAACCACUUGGACAAGUACUUUGGAAAUUAAGCAACACUUGUUAACACUUUUAGAAAUUAGGGGCUAUUUUGUUACUCGGAAAAGCAUGGAAAAAAUAUUUUCGAGAAACUCUUUUUUUUCAUGAAAAAUCCCUUUUUUAGUGUUCUAUCUAUUUGAUUCCAAGAAAAAUUAGUUUUUGAAAAAAAAAAAUUUCAAAAGUUUUAAAAAAAUCUAGCAUUUUCGUUUUUCUUUAAAAAAAAAAAAAUCUGAAAAGCAAAAAUAUUAAUUUUUACAUAGUUUUUCUUGAAACCAAACGGAGGGAAAAUUAAAAUAGAGAUUUUUCAUAAAAAUUAUUGUUCUCGAAUUAUUUUUUUCAUGCUUUUCCGACAAAUCAAACACCCCCUUAGCUGCGCUAACUAUGAUCAUCAGUGUCGCUUAAUAAAUAUCAAUAUAUAUAUUUCAUAAGGCCGGCGAGCGGCCGUGGUGGCCGCCGCCGAUCAUUCCGGCCGCGGCCCACAGCCCUAAUCCGGCGCACGGCGCCUCCCGCCCCACGAUGUCGGCGCAGCACUGCUCUUGCCACUCGAGCAACGGCAAGUCCCUUGUCUCCGCCGUCGUCGGCUUCGUUUCCGCAAUAGUAUUGCCCGGAUCUUCCAUCAAAAUCCUAUUUCCGCUGCUGCUGCUGUUGUUGUUACCAUAUGUAUAAAACUGACUGUCCAAAAGCGAGUUGUACUUGUGAUUGAAAAAGUUUAAGUUGUGGCAGGUGGUGAUGGUGGUCGGCAGCGGUGGUGAGAAGGAGAGGUGGAGGCCGAAGGAGGUGGCGGCGGCGGCGGCGGCGUGGUGGGGGUGGUGAUUGGAGGGUUUUUUGUCGGCGGAGUGGGGCGGUGGGGGGUGGCGCUUGUUCUUGCGGCAACCGCCGCCGACGGGGACGUUUCGGAGGGAGCCGCCCUUGGUCCAGUAGCGGCGGCACGUCUUGCAGAAGUAGCGCGGCUGCGAGAGGCUGUAGUUGUUGUAGUAGCAGAACUUGGUGUGCGUCGAGUCGCACCGCGGGCACUUCAGCGGCACCUGCUCGUGCGGCGGCCCCUGCCGCGCCCGCCGCUCGUGCAGCGGCACCGACAGCGGUUGCGAAUGUAUCGGAAUGGUAGGGUACGUUAGGAGGAGGUCGGCGGAGGCCGCCGCAGCCGCCGCCGAGGAGGAGGGAGUUAGGGUUUCUUCAGGGAAGAGACCCUGCAUGCAUAUGCAUAUAUGUGCAUGAAAGUAAAGUUUAUACUGUUUAAAAAAUCUCAAUUCUCAUUCGUAGAUCGUGAUAAAAGAAAGCCAGUACUUAAUGGAUCGGGUCGAAUUUGCUCAUUAUGGACGACCCGAAACCCGAUUAAAAAACCAAUAGUGCAAGAAAGGAAAUGAAACAGAUCAGUUGCAGAUCACGCAUGCAUGUGCAUGUAUUUGUUGGAGUGUGCGAGUGGUUUGAUACACUGUUCAAAGAAUCCGGCACCAGCGUGAAUUCGGCGCCGAAUUUCAUGCAAAUGGUGCGGAGAACGCCGCUUUUGACUCUUGCUAACCUUACACGUGUUCUCAUCAUAUUUGAAAGUAAAAAGGAUUUGAAUUUAUUCGGAGCAGAUCAAAUUUAUUAAUUUUUAUCUAAUUCAAUCAGCAUAUUAUGAUUAAAUUAAUUAAAAGAUAAUAUUAAUAUGUCAACAAAAAAAAUCUGUAGCACAUAGUAAUAGCUUGGUUUAAAAAAGAGCAAUUAAUUAAUGUGAGCCUCCUUGCAUAUAUAGCUCCAUGUGUUUGAAUAUUGUUGAACAGGUUUUACUUAAUAAAUUGUCCAACAAAAUCAUAUCUCUUUAUAUUCAUUAGCCAUUAAUUUCAAGUGUAGAAAUAAUUAUUUUUAAGUUUAUAUCUUAUAGAUAUAGAUAUAAAUAUAAGUUUUCCACCUUAAAUCUCAGGGAUACAUAUAUUCCUUUUGCAUUUACAUGCAAUUUACAAGAGAAGAUCCAUCCAAAAUGCACAUAUAAAGGAGCUACUACAUUUUACACAUGCACACACAGAUCUAGAGAGAGAGAGAGAGAGAGUAUUGAUUAAUUGCAUACCUUGAGCCAAUCAGAAGAGGAGUCCAUGCAGAUAUGCAUUGAUGGAGUGGCCAUUAAUAAUUGAUAAAAGAAGAAGUGAUCAAGAACUUAGAUUAAAAAAAAAUUUUAAAAAAAAUACAUAUCAAAUAUUGUUAAUGAACAUCAUGAAGCUAAUUAAGAUAUAAAUAUAUAUCUAUCAUAUAUGAAUGGUUCCCAUGAUCUUCAGAUGAGCUUUAAUUUUGGUGCAGCAGUAGCAGCAGCAGCAGCAGCAGUAGAGAGAGAGAGAGAGAGAGAGAGAGAGAGAGAGAGAGAGAGAGAGGAUCUUAAGCAAGAGAUAUUAAGGCUCUUAUAUACAUAUAUAUAUAGGGGAAUAUAUCUUUAUAAUGAACUAGACUAUUGUGGUGUGUGAUAUGAUAUUAUUUGGGUUGGUGAGGUUGAAUUGAAAUGUGAAAGAGGAUGUAGAUAUAGUAAGAAUAAGAGGAAGAGAGAGAGAGAGAGAGAGAGAGAGAGAAGAAAUUGAAAGGAAGAAAAGAAGGUGGAGGAGAGAGAGAGGAGGAGCAGCAGCAGCUUCUGGAGCUCUCACUGACUCCUGGCGGGCCCCGCCCUUGUCGGGCAAAGGAGAAUUCUUACACGGGUCCCGCCAGGACCCAAAGCGAGUACUAGAUUUACAAUAAUCGGUAUCAGAACAAGUUGCAGAUAUUCAACACACGAUUCAGCUCAGCAGUUACUAUAAACCUACUGUCCUGUUGUGUAUGCAUUUGAAUUUGGCGAUCAUUCUGAAUUGAAAAGGGAGCAGUUUUAAUAACGAAAAAUAUUUAUUCUUUGUUUCUAAAGAGGUUUAGAUCAGAUCCAAAAGCAUAAGCUUUUAAAGGGAGAUAUCUCUCACACUCUGAGCAGGUUAACUUGGAAAAGAAAUAUGAAAUAUGACAAAGAGGCACUUUAUUAUUUAUUAAAGUUUAUAGUAUUAUUUAAUUAUUAAAGUGUCAAUAUUAUUAUAGCACUAAGUAUAUAUACUUCUCCUAAUAGCUUUAAUGUCGAUAUUUAUUUCGACACCAAUGUUAUGAAAUUAUUCGAAAUCUUACUCAUAAUUAUGUAAAAAAUGAGCUCUCAACUUUAGAAUUUGGUUUAUGGAACUUACAAUUUUUUCACUCACAAAUUUUUAGUAUAGCAACAAUCCUAUUCAUUUUUGGAUCUAAAAGAUGUCCAUAUGUACUUUAACAACAAAGUUAUAAAUCAUUCUAAAUCUUAUUCACAAUUAUAAACAAAGAUAAAUUUUAAAUACCUCAUCUAUGGUUUCGCGCUUUCCCAUUUUAGUACUUACUGGUUUAAAGUAUAUGACUUUAGUAUCAUAUGGUUUUAUUUUUCUCUUUUCGUCAGCGCCUUCGUUAAUUUUUCGUUAAAUUAUAUACAAAAAAACUUCAGAUAUUUCAUCUAUGAUUUAUCAAAUAUUUAAUUUAGUACUUUAUAAUUUUAACUUUGUCGCCGAUUUAAUAAAAAAAUAAUAAUAAAAUAUAUUUUAAUUUAGGGUAAACUUCAGAAACCACUCCCGUAAUUUCGCACUUUCUUAUUUUAGUACCCUGUGGUUUAAAGUGUAUCAAGUUAGUGUCAUAUGAUUUCAUUUUUAUCUUUUCGUCAGCUUUUUCGUUAACAUUUCGUUAAAUUAUAUACAAAAAACUUUAUAUAUCCCACCUAUAUUUAUCGAAUGUUUGACUUCAGUAUUCUUUAGUUUUAACUUUGUCGCUAAUUUAACGAAAAAAAUAAUAAAAUUAAUAAUAAAAAAAUAAAAAAUAAAAUUAUAAUAUAUUACUCUAUGCUAUAAUGCACUAAAUUGAUACACUUUCAACUACGAAGCGUCCGAAGAGUAUCCAAGCGAACACGUUGUGGGAUUCGAUGACGUGGACGUGCCACGUGGAAUAUCUCGGGCCUCGUAAAAAGCAGUGGAAAAAAAAAAAAGAAAAAGAAAUAAAAAAGGGCGCGGCUCUAAACCGAAAGCUCCACUCUUAGGGGUGGGACCCACCCUUGCACUAGAAAGAGACAAAUACACCGCAGAGGAGGGAGAAGAAGCUUCCACUUUUACACACAACACCACCCCUCUCUUUCUUUCUCUCUCUCUCUCUCUCUCUCUCUCUCUCUCUCUCUUAUCUUUUCGCCUCUCACAAGCAAAGGAUCGAUUCCCUGGUCAAAGGUAUGUUUGUUUGACCAGAGAUAAAAAUUAAAUUUUAAAUUUUAAAUUAUAUUAGGUAUAAAUUAUUAAUUUUUUAUUCAUUCGUAUUGAAAACUAAAGUUUUCAUAAUUUCUUUCUAUUAUUUGGCAGGGAGUAAAUGACGUAAAUAUUAAAACUGUUAGUAGAGAUAUAUGCAAACGGAACGGAUGCGGAGCAGGAAUGGGUGGGUCUGAUUAUAAUUUUUUUUUCCCCAUUUACUAUUUCAUUCGGAGCGAAACUGGAUGGGAGCGGAUUUUUGACGGAUCAAGAAAGAUAUAGGUCUUCUGCUUCUCACUCAAUUUGUUGGUAGAUUAGGAUAAAUUUGAUACGAGCUAUUUUUUUUUCUUUUUAUUUUUAGCUUCCAUUUAUCACCACAUUCAAGGCCGAAUGGGAAACAGGAUUACCACCAUUUUGAACUUUUUUACAUUCCUUGAUAAAAGUGAUGAGUUAAUAUUUUAUAUUUUUUUAUUUACGAUCGAAAAUUACUUUAUUUUUCUCUACUUUUCAGUAAAACAAACACAUCCUUAGCGUCGAAUUAAUUUUCUUAUUGUUGAGCGGCGGGAUCAACCUGUGCAUAAUUCGCGAGUAAAAUCGGAGGAUCGGACACGUGUUCGGAGGAGGGUUGGUGCGUAUGGGUGUUUGGUGUUUUGGGGCUGGGUAGGUGAUCAACGAUCAGGAUUUGUCGGCAAGUAGUGUUGGUGUGGGAACGAACGGCUCAGGCGUCGCCGGCGCGUGACGAUCCCAUCACAGUUUUUUUUUUUUUUUUCGAAAAAAAACCAAUUUUUGAUUAUCCAGUUUUUUUUUAAAAUUUCGAUUUUAGAUCAGUGUAACUGUAAAUCAAUUUAGAAUAUUAGUUAAUCACUUUUUAACAUAAGAUAUAAUUAAACCGAUGCUAUGUGAUUAGUUCACCAAAUCGGUGCAAUACACAUCACAUCAACAAUUUUUAAAAAAAUACAUGAGAUGUUGAUAUGUCACGCACAUGAUAUCAUAUUGAAAACGAAAAUAAUUAAUUUAUGCACGAUUUUUUUUACAAUCUAUAAAUGUUUACUAAACAUCACUGAGACAGAUAAUUUUAAUUAGAUUUUUUUUUCCUUCAUAAAAUCCUCGCUUCGACGGUGAAAUUUUGGUCACUAGUCAUUCAAAAAUCCGUGUGCACAGAAAAGAAGUCAAGUGUACGAGAAUUAGGAUCUGAUGUAACAUUAUUGGUCUCAAACAUAUAAAAUCAUUAUCACAUAUAUCCAAAAAUAAAUAAAUAAAUAAAUAAAUUCUGCCGACAUGGUGUCUUAAUUAUUAUUUAAUUUAGACUUAAUUUGGUAUUGAAGUUCGUAUGAUGCUAUCACAUAAAAUUAGAGUUGGGAUAAAUAUCCCAAUAUAUAGUAAUAUACUUUUGCGUUGAUCACAGAAAAUAUAUCGUGACCGACUCAUCGCGAUAUGCGUAAUUUAAUAUUACGUAUAGAAACAAAUAAAAUAUUUUUUCAUUAUACUUCCUCACUGUACGUACCGUAAUUUUUUCGCAAUUCCAAACGAAACUUUAAUGCCCAUUUGGCUCGGCUUUUUUUAACAGAUUCGCUACGCAAAAAUAUAGUAAUUAGACGUGUCUUAAGUUUUUACUAUGCCCGCGAGUUGAAAUAAUCUUCCCAAUCUCAAUAGCAGAUGUUCUAAUUUAAAACUUCUUCUGCUGCUGCUACAGCAGCAGCAAUACAAAGUUGUUGGAGAAUCAUAUGAUUUUUGUAGAAGCUCCAUUUUCCUCCGAAUCAUAAAUUUGGAGCACUUAUUCGGAUCGAGGCAAAAUUAUAUCCUAGCAUGAAAUAUCAAUUGGAUCAAGACAAAAAAUUUUAUUGAAAAAUCCACAUGUGGAGAAAAAGUGUUCAACCAAAACAAAACAGAUCUAGAAGCUGAAAGGGAGUAUUAUGAACAAUCAUAAGAAAUAAGUUUAUUUGCAUUCCUCGUACAGUUGGAUACUAUUACUAUGACACCCGAAUAGUCCCACAUCAGAUAAUAUGUGAGAGCGUGACGGACACACUAAAACUAAUAACUAGGCUUAAACAAUUGGAGCCCAGCCAAUUAUUAGUGCUCCUGAACUGAAGCAUUACAGUUGGUGUUAGAACCAAUUCAUCAGGCCAAAGUGUAAGGUGAAUCUCAUACCGUCUAGAGAACUUAGGUUAUUUGUGUGAUCAAACUGAACAAUCACAUGGAAUAACGUUAAUUGGUCUUAAACAUUUUAGGCCGGUAGUUUAAGCCCAACGAUUUAUUAGCGUUGGUACAUAAAUUAUAAUACUCAAUUGGAGGAAAAUUUCUUCCUAAAAAUAUCAAAUUAUAUUGCCCAUGGGUUUUCCAUAGAUAGUACCUAUUCCAGCACCAACUCUCACAAUUCCCAAACCAAAUACACAAUGUAAACAAACACUAUUCCAUGGUCUUAACUAAAAAUUCUUCAAUCAAACACUACCAAAAUAUUCUACUACAGCACCACAACCAUCAUAACUUUCGCAUUCAUGACGCGGAAAUUCUUCGAUCAAACACUACCUGAAUAUAUUCUACACUAUCAGCACCGGCAUUAACUUUUACAUUGGUCAAGAUUGCGUUCGGAAAAAGUAGAUACCUAAAUAUUCCUGAUGAACAUAUAAUCCAAAUUUGAGAGGUGCACUGUUUUUUUCUCUGCCAACCUUGUGAGCAACAUAAGAGAAGGUGUGUUCAAAAGAAGCCACUACAAGUAGGUCCCAGGGCAAAUAUUUGACACCAUAGAUAUAGAAAGCUUACCCUGAAAUGUUAUAAUCAGAUUUGCUAUGUUUCACACUUCUUUUUCUUGAGGAGAUUUUUUUUUUGAAGAUAAAAGAACACCCCCAUAGACCAUAAGAUGGCGCAAUAAUGGACAGAGCAAUGAAUUCCAAGUGAAAUCGACAUACCGUGUUUUAAGCAUGCCAACUUAUACUUUCUAGAUGCUAAUAAACUGAUUCUCUGACCGUUCCUAACGCAAGCAGCAAAGAGCUUGACAAUUGGUACAUGAAGUCCCCAGCUAGAAGCCUAAUUGUUCCACAUUUCUAGCUAAGUUCAUUUUUAAAUGAGUGAAGCUGGUGGCAUGCUACUUUUCUCUCCCCCAAGGUGGGAAAAAAAAUGAUUCAAUGACACUCUUAUAGUCGAAGUAGUUCAUGAAUUUGCUUUCGCUUAACAUGUAGAAUUUAAAGGAAAAAAUAAAAUAUUAUCAUACCUCAACCAAGGUGGAGCUUGACGCUUGAAACGGAGUCUUCCUUCCAAUGGUAAGAUGAAAAAUAAGGCCUUGCAAAUAUUUGUAUAAGCAAUUCACUUGUUUAUGCCUAUCUAUAGCGGCAUUUGUAACAUGCGAAAAGAAAAACAGCUAAGAAAAGGUGUAGUCAUUAAAAUCAUAGCAACUUUUUUUUUCCCUGAAAAAUGAAACCUUAAAAAGCACUUGGUAAAGCAUGCAUUCCAAAAUACACGGCAAAGAGGUCGAACAUGCGAUUUCAGACAGUAACCAAUAAUAAGGAAAGGGCACAGAUUAGAAUAAUCAAGUGGCCAUGUAAACAAGAUAUGUACCACACCAAACAGAGUCCUAAACUCCUCAUAAAAAGACAUCUAGUAUACCAUCACUAUACUUUAUCCCACUAUAUGGAAAUUAGCCAUCAAAGAGGGCAUGCUGACGAGUAAAUAUUUGGACAUGGGCCCACGUACAAGCGCGCGCGAGCGCACACAUAUGCGCACUAACAAACAAAGAACCUUCUCCCAAAUACUAUUAAACUACCUUCAUAUGAUGGGAAAUGUUAUUCAAAUUAUUUACCAAAUAAAACUAAAGCUAUUGGAAAAUUUGCUACUAGAAUGCUACAACAAAGGAGGACAUCCUCCGUAGAUUGCCAUCUUUACGGCCCAUCUACAACAACAUGCAAAUGUAUUUAAGAUCACAACAAGGCAGGCUAAGCCGAACUGUUCAUUAUCUAGAAGUCUACAAUGCACAGGAACAACCUAACUUAAAGCUACCCCACAAAGAACAAAACAUGACCCUCCAAGAAAUUAAAGGGGGCAGCUCCUCAUAGACAGAUCACACUACUAACAUAGAUCACUUAACAACUCUGAAGCUAAUGGAUGUUAGAAAGAAAGAAAGAUAUUCAUAAAACACCAGAACUAAUUAGGGUUACCGGCGGUAGUCGGUCCGCUCAGCAUAGUGUCCACCUUCUUCAAGAGGCCCUGCAUCUCGCUGACCAGAUUGUCCUUCACGUCCGACCUCAACCCGCCUGACGGCCCGGCUUUUCUCAGCGGCGAUGAAGUCAGUGAUGAGAUCAUCCUUUCGAGGUUUUUUCUAAUGCAAUUGAGUGGAGGCUUUUUUGCAGGAAUAUUUGAAGGCGGCGAGCUCAUUUUCAUAGGGGGCAUGUAGUGGAGGCGGUAGGUGACAAAUGGGGGCCCAAAAAUGCCGGGCUUAUCAGCGCUGUUGAAAGCCGCUUCCGCAUCAGCGCUUUUUGCAAACACGACGCGGGCGCAGCCGGUUUCGCGAAGCACUUCUGUCUCCGACUCGAACAGCAAGCCGAACUGGCUAAAGGUGGAAACAAGGUCCUCUUUGGAAGGGAGAACAACGCCUGGGUUGAAGUUCAAGAGAAGGGCAGCGGGGUUUCCGUAGAAAUUAACUCCAUCCUUCUUCUUUCUCUUCUGCGUGGAAUUGCUCGCUUCCAAACCGUUGAUCGCUUUGCUACCCAAAUUAUGUUUGUCAUUGUUCUUCCUCUUCCUUUCUCGAGGCUUACUUGUUUGAAAAUGGCUAAUUUCAAUUGGUCUUUUCCCAUUAGCCACUUCACUGCUCUUAGGCAUCUCCAAUGUAAAUUUAGCAGGUUCUACAAAAAUAUUAGCAUCUUUACCCAAAUUCGCUACAUUUUCACCAUUAGCAGCGGUACUAUCGUCCAUUUUCUUCGAUAAAGAUUCACUUUCCACCAGAACACUUACCAACUGGACAUUCGAAUUCAAUGGAUUUUGAAUACUAGCUUUCUCUUUCUUCGUCCUCCUCUUCUUACAAGUGUUGUUUUCUUCAGAACCAACUGUUGAAUUUGGAAGCAAACCCUGAACAAUUUCUUCGCCAGCCACAUCCUUCGCCUUUUUCCUCUUCAAAUUUCCCUUCUUCCCGUCAACAGAGUAGACCAAAGCAGGGAUUGAAUUAGUUAAAUCCUCUCCACCAUUUUCAUCCGCUGCCGUUGGAGUUUCUCCAGUAGCUGCAUUGCUAAUCUUUUUCCUCUUAAAACUCAGCUUCUUUUGUCCCGAGAGAUCAACCGAACCAGGACUCAACCCUGCUUCGAUUCCGCCUUCUUCAUCAUUCCUCUUCUCUUCAUCCAGAGAUUUCCCUACGCCGCAGCAAGAUUCUGCAAUGUGCUUUUGGUAACCCUCAUAUUCACUGCCGUUUACAAACGUCGCGCUUCUAUACAUAGAAAAAAAGCCCCGCACUACCUUUGCCGACCUGUUCCACUUCAGGUGGAGUGGAUUUCUCGCCGUGCAAAUUAGCUCCCAGAAUGUCUCUCGCAACGAAAUCCCGUCGAAAUUAAGAGCUGGGCCGUUCUUAUCCUCUUCCUUGUGAAUCGUCUCGCUACCCUUUUUUGCCGUCCUCUCAUCCCCACUCCAAGGCGACGAGUCCAAAUCCUUUACAAAGCCGAUCAAAUUAGUGUAGGGGUAAGACAAAUACUUGCUCUUCUUCCUCUCCCUCUUUGCCGAUCCCGACUCUUCUUCAAUCUUCGUAUCGCCAAUUACUGUCUCAAAACCCUUCUUGCUUCCACCAUUCUUCUCCUCCUCCUCCUCCUCCUCUCCGCUAAAUUCCACAUUCUUAUCCGCCUCCUCUUUACACAAAUCCAUGUCCAUCUCGGCGAUGAGCGCCGCCAUGCUUCUCUUCUUCCGACCCUUCUCCAACUUCUCCUCUUCCUCCGAAACCGUAACUUCCCUCGGAACCUCGCCGCCAUCAUUCAACUCCACCUCCCUCUCUUCUUCUUCUUCUUCUUCUUCUUCUUCUUCGCCCUUGCUAUCAAGUAACUCUCCGGCUGGGAUAUCAAGGUCGAUCUUAUCCACUAGCUCGGUUACCUCUCUCCGCCUCCGAUACCCAACCAAAUCCUCGGAUAACCAUCCGUGCCCGAAUCCCACGGCCCAGCUUCUGAGCUUCACGCAUUCGAUCAUGUCGGGGGCCAACACAUCAACUGCAGCAUCCAAGGCACGAUCGAGGAACUCCGACGGCGAGAAAUUCGAAACCCCGAGCUUCUCGGGGCAGAACCUGCGGUCGCUGAAUCGAUCCUCGGCGGGAUAGCAAUGGCAAGUGAGCUCCUUUUGGAGGCAUUGUGCCACAAACCCUAGAGCCUCCUCGACGGCGGCGACGAAGCCCUUCGACCGGCUCUGCUGAACCAGAUCGUCGAGGCCGGGGGAGAAGAAGGGCUUCAGCUGCGAAGCGGAGCACCAUGCGGCGCCAUUGCCGAAGAGCGCCACGUGAAUGGCGGAUCCCGCUUUCGCGGGGGAUCUCUUGGAUGGAUCGGGCGGGGCGAGGGAGGGGUCGCUAACCCGCGCCGGCCACCAUGGCUGGCCCUUCGUCUUCGCCCAGACGAGGUCGCCGACGCCGCAAGGGCUGGCAAACCCUAACCCUAGCACCGCCGAAUCCCCUUCCUCGUCGGCGAAGGCGACUCCUAGGGUUUCGCCCCUCGAUUCCGGAGCUAGGGUUUCAGCUCCCGGAGCAAACCCUAGCCCCGGUUCUAGGGUUCGGGGAUCGGGGGGCUCCUGCGUGGGAUCGCCACCUAGGGUUUCGACGGGGUCUAGGGUUUCCAUUUGAGCGGAGAGGUGGGAGAAGAUGAGGGGCUCGUGCGGGGGACUAAAAAGUAAGAAAAAGUUGCGCACGAAGGGGCGGGGUGAAAAGUGCAGUGAAUAGAAAGGGGGACUGGACGGGAAUUUUACCUCAAUACAAGGGGGUUUUGUGCAAAAAUGUCUCCGCGAGGUCGAAGAAGAGGGGGAGCUCCAACACGUUCACAGUGAGAGUGUGUGGAAGAGGAGCGGGGAAGAAGCGUUUUGAGAGAGAGAGAGAGAGAGAGAGAGUGUGCCACGUCAGCGUCCAAGGUGUUCUGUGGGGCCCGCUGAUAUGGUUGAACAGCGUACAGCUUCAAUAGCGGGUUAUAAUUCGACACGUGUCCCUCAUAAGUAGUAGGUUGUGUUGGUGCGUGUUUGGUGUGGUGCACUUGAUCUGAUGCUUUUGGUUUUGUUGUCGCGAACUAAAAAAGUUUGGUACGGAUAAAAUAUAGGUAAAAAUAUAUCAAAUUUAUCUGAAUUAAACUCCAUUUUAAUUUAAUUAUUUAAUAUUUUAUUCUUUUUAUUUGAGUCAGUCAAAUAAUAUUUUAAUUUUAAAUAUUAAAAUAAUUAAUUAUUUUUAAUAAAUUUAUAGUUAAAAAAAUAUAUGAAAUAUACUAACUAAAUCUAUAAAAAUAAACAACGUAUUUAAAUUUUGAAAUUAAAGUGUUAUUGACUAACUCAAAUUAAAUAAAUUAAAAAAUUAAAUAAAAAAUUAAAUUUUAAAAAAAUCAGAUAGCUGAAUCAAAAUAGUUCAUAAUUCAGGUGAUUUUCAUAGGUUUUUAUUUAAAAUUAUAUACCUUGUUUUUCCCCGAGAUCCUCUCUAAAUUUUAUCGAUUACAUAUUUUUGUCAUACAAAUUUUGUUUAUUUAUUUUUAAAAUCCUCAAUCACAUAAAAACUAAUAAUUCAGGAAAAAAGAAAAGUUUUCUAACUGGAAAAGCAUUUUAUUCUCAUUUCUUUUUUUUUUGAUUUUUUUUCCAAAUUUUAUGUAAAAGUCUCAUUUUCAAAAAUUACAAAAAUUAUAUUUUCUUAAUGAAAGAUUUUCGGAGGGAACAAACAACCCCUAAAUUAUAAAAUAUUUUAUUAAGGUUUCACAUUAGCCUUUGAUCUUAUUUACUUUGUGUGAUAAAUUUAUUGAGUGCAUUCUCAUUUCCAUAUUUUUAAUAAAAAUCAUUAGUAGUUCAUUAAUAAUAAUAUAUUAGAUUUUAACAAUCUACCAAUUUAAGUGACGUGAUAAGUUAAUAAUAAUAAUAAGCUUCUCGUUCCAAAUAUAAUAUAUGAAAAUGUUUUCAAAAUAUUACAAGCUAUGAAUCAAACGGUUUCUAAUAAGAGCAAUGUUAUACGUACACUUCUAACUUAACAAACAUUUAGAUAAAUUAGUUGUAGGUAAUAAUAUUUAUUUUUGGUUAAGAAAAAAACUAAAGUUAAAACUUGGGUAAAUCACAUGUACAGUUCUUAAACUUUAAUUUCUUGUAAUUUUCAGAAUUAUUUCAAUCAAAAAUUCCACAACUUAAUAGCUAAAUGUUGACGAAUUGUUAACACGUGAGUGAGUGAUGUAAAAAAAUAUUAUGACUGAUAAUGUCAUAAUAAUUAAAAUGGUACAGCACUUAUACAUCAAUGAUGCGUUAAUAUUUAGUAACAUAAAUUAAGUUGUGGGACUUGAUAAUAAUAAUUAUAAAAAUUUAAGUUACAAAUUACAAUAAAUUAAAGUUUGAAUAUCGAAAUAUUUGAGGAUAAACCUGUAAUUUAUCCUUAAAACUUUUUUAAAAGUUUUGAAUAUGUUAUAUCAAGCAUGAAAGUUUGAGCACCAAAAUAUGAACUUGGCUAAGAGUUCACUCACUAGUAGUUCAAUUUCCUCACAACGAAGAUAUAUUUUAAUUUAAUUUAAUUUUAUAUCAUGGGAUCCUUGGAGUUUCGAUAAUUUAAAACUCAAAUCAAAUGAUUCAUAUCGUUAAAUUUAAAGGUUAAUUUCAUAUAGGUUCCUACAAAUAUAGUAAAUUACAAAUAUAUAUAUGUACAAAAUUCAACUUUCAUACGUUGUCCUUGCAAAAAUCCUGAUGUUUUCAAAUAUGUUUAUGCUUUUAGGAAUCGCUAGUAAAAAUUAGUUAACCAUAGAUAAAAUACUUAACUCUAAUUAGUUAAUAAGAUGAAUUGACCUUUUUACCCCGCUUUCAUUAACAGUUGAGACUUUUCGAGGGACAUAUUUGUGAUGAUAAAAAGGUCAUUUCGCUUAUUCAUAAACAAUGCUUUAAUGGUCCAGAGAUACAUAUUUGAAAAUAUUAGAACUUUUGUAGGGACAAUAUAUGAAAGUUGAACUUUAUAGGAAUAUAUUUGUAAGUCACUAUAUUUGCAGGGAUUUGUAUGAAAUUAACUCUAAAUUUAAUAUAAGUUGUUUGAAUGUUUUAGGUGCCAAAUUUUAUUAUAUUUUUAAACAUUAUUUGUCUAAUAUUCAAGUGGUUUCAAAAUUAAUUAUUUCCAACCGCUACUGUAAGGUGAAUUUGGGAUUAUUUAUGACUAUACAAAUAAUAUCAAAAAAUU
rnacentral:lncRNA from 1 species